UUCGACCCAGAUCUUCUCACGCGUCUCCUCUCACCGCACCUCCUCUCACCCCCGAGCCCAACGCCAGCACCGCCCGGCUCCAACCCCGCCGCCCUGACCUCCUCCGCCGGAGCCCCCAUCCGCCGCCUCACCCACCUUCGCCGCCGCCCGUAGCAUACGCCGCGCCAGCCCCCAUCCACCGCCCGCUGUUCCCCUCACCUUCUCCCUUGAUCUCGCCGCCGCCGCCCCUGAAAAUCGGGAUGCCCAGCCCUCCGCCGCCCCUGACCGUCGCCGCCCUUCAGAUCCACCUCCGGCCGUGACGUCCGCUGCGCCCGUGACGUCCGCCGCCGCGCCCUGACGUCCUCAGCCGCCGCCGUCCCUGAGAUCCACCGCCGGGGACUCAUCCGCUCCGCCGCCCCUCAGAUCCGCCCCCGACCUCUUCAGCCGCCGCGCCCCCGACCCCUUCCGCCGCCGCGCCCCCGUCCCCUUCCGGCGCCGCCCCAAGCUAGGUCCGGAGCGGUCACGGGCCGCCGCCCCUCCGAUGCGGCUCCGCCCCUGACCGGCGCCGCUCCCCUAGCGUCCGUGGCGGGCGGCGGCCCGUGACCGGCGCCGUCCGCUGCCGUCCGUGGCGGGCGGCGGCCCGUGACCGGCGCCGUCCGCUGCCGUCCUCUUGCACUAUAGAGAGAUGACGGCAAUAUUUGGCAAUACAAUGGCUACUGGAAAUUUUGCAAAAGACUCAAGUGCACCUCUAGGUAGAGAGGAUGAUGAGGGUGAAAGUCAAGAAGAGGGGGAUGAGGUUACUGGGCAUGGUCCAAGUGAGGGGCAUACCACUCAAGGGGCAACGUCUUCUGCUAGUAGACCUAGUAAGAAGUCCAAGAUAGCUGAAAUGGAGGAGGAUGGGCUGGUUGCCGCCUUCAAAAGUGUAGGUGAGAACCUUGCCGCUGCCAUAAAAAUGGUAGCUAAACCUGAUAAUGAGCUGCCACCUGACCUAUUUGAUGUCUUGAACCAACUUCCUGGUUUUAAUUCAGCACACAUAUCCUUCUACUAUGCUCAUUUGGUGAGCAAUCCUCACAUUGGCAAAGCUUUCUAUAACUUGCCAUUCGAGCACAAGUUAAAUUGGAUCACAAUGUUCAUCGCUGAGAAGUUCCCUGGAAUGUAAGAGUGAUUUCAAUGAGUAGGAUGUUUCUUUUGUUAAAACUUGAUCAUGAAUUAGUGUCUAAGUUCUGAAUUUAUAUUAUGUAAGCUUCAACUUGAUGGCUGAUAUUGUAUUGCCUUGAACUUGGUAUAUGUAAGGCUAUCACUGGCCAUUGACGUUGCUCAAGACUGAUGAACUUUUGGUGUAUGUAUGUAAGGCUUGAACUUGGUAUAUGUUGUUAUUUUCAUCCAUCAUUUGGAAUAUCUUUCUUCUUUUUAAAUUAAGCAGUACCAUGGUUUAAUAUUAACGGCAAUUUUUCACAAGAGAAUAACAGUGCUAGAAUGUGAGCAGUAGCAGGUUGAUGUCUAUAUUGUUGAUGAAUUAUGGCAGCUAGGGUAAUCUCACCAAGAAGGUGAGCUUAUUCAUUGUGAAACCCUCAUCCUCCAACCAAACAAGAGAUGGAACCACUCCAACCCACUUUAUCCCAUAAUCAAACAAAAAACUGGGUCCAACCCAUCCCUGCAACCAAACAAGAACUGGGUUCACUCCAACCCAGAAAACUGGGUUGGCUCCAACCCAACCCGCAUGGUCCCAAAACCAAACGCACCCUAAGGCGGCAACGCAUCGGCAUCGCAGCCAACAUACUCGCAUUCGCUGUUGAUGCAAAGCCUACCACAGCCGCAUGCCGGCCAUCGCUCGCCUUGACCUAUCAGGGAGGAAACGGAGGCGUGGGGUGUCGGCCAAGCCCAAGCCCAAGCCGCGCCGCGCGCCGUGCCUGGUCGUGCGAGCGGGACAGCGGCGAACGGACCGCGCCUCCGGAGUCCGCUCGCCGCUGCCGGAGCAGAUCAGGCGGAGGGCGGAGAGGACGGACGGACGCCGGCGGCGGACGUCCGGUGAGCGGAGCAGCUCCAAACCAAGGGGCUAUCUGCAAAUAGUCGGAUCGCGAUCCAAAUAAGGAUCCUAUUUGUAAAAUACCAGGGUCUAUAUGGAAAUAAUCAGAUCGUGGUUAAUAAUCGCGAUCCAAAUUAGAGGUACAUAUGUAAAUACUUGGGGUGCUAAAUGUGAAUAAUCGGGUCGCGACUAAUAAUCGUGAUCGGGGUGUUUUUGCAAAAUUUAGGGCCGGCCUCACGCGCGGCAGCCGGUAACCGCAGCCGUCCGGGCCGCCAGGCAUCGCACGCGGGCCUCCUGUGCAGCAGCGGCGCCGGUCCCCGCGCACCCUGCGAACAGCCUUAGCUGCUCCGGGCGAUGGUGCCGGCUAAUCACGCCGCGGCUCGCCGGAGAAGCGCCGCAAUCCGGCCGUCCCCGCCCGCCAGCUCCUGGACCCUGGAUCUCUGGCCUCAUGUUUAACCAUGGAACCCGCGCUCUUCAGCUCUGGUGCGCCUCCGUUAACUGAAACAGAUUUUCCAACGGCCUGGUGGGUUGAUUGUAAAUCUGAAGUUGGGACAGACCAUCAGUUCAAAGGCCAAUCGCCCAAUCCAAUCGACGAACGACGAUUCAGCGGCCGAUCGACUGAAAAUAGCAUGAUCUGAUUCAGUGCUUCACCGAACUGCAAUCUUGACAUGAUUGUGCCUUGCUACGCAUCAUAUAACAGUAAAAAAAUUCAAUUGAUCCCAGCUGGAAAGACAAAACGAAAAAGCAGUUGAGACAUGAGACCAAGAUAAUCAUCGCAGUCACGAUUCCAGUUACCCUUUGUCUUGCUAUUACGAUAUCAACUGGCUGAUGCCCUCAAGUUUCGUUUCUUCAAAUCUGACUGAUAUUUGCGCGUUCAUGCUAUCUCUCUGACGAUACAAACCGUCCAUUUCUGUCAUUUCCCAUUCACUGAUCGGAAUGCCUAUCUAGGACAUUGGCUGUUGGCCACGCCAUUGUUCUUGGCUAGCUCUGUGGAACAGAACAAAACAGAAUUUUCAAGCUUCGGUACAUUCUAAGUUUGGCCCCGUUCAUCUACAACAUGACACUGCACAAUUAUGCAUGACUGAAUCUAUAUUGAGAUGGACUGAAACUGAAGUAACCAGCAGUAGUACAAGUUCAUCUCAGAUCUCCACUAACAAAUCUCAUGUGGGUUGAUUGUAACCCGCGCUAAUGCUGACAUAAAGAUGCUUGUGAUCAGCAUUCCAACGAAUAUGAUAUUCACAGGCAACCAAAAUUUGAUUAGAUAUCAUGUCAGUUGUUCAGUUGGAAUAGCACAAGACAGGUAUAGUGGGGAAACUAUGGUCACUGCUAAAAUGUUCUGCAGUGACAGAUCAUGGAAAAGGUGCCUUAAAGAACACAGCUAUGUUUCAUGAAAACUGAAAGUCAGCACUAAAACCAUAGCCAGACAAUCUCGCUCUGGAUUCUUUCUUCACGUCCCCUGAUUUCAUCAGAUUCCCUCACUGUCAACAAAGUUCAGAGUAGGACAUACUAGCAUACAGUGACUCAUCUGCAUGUUUAGAAGAUUCAUGAAUUUGUAUCCGGUCAGGAUGAAAAUAUUGGAAACACGAAAAAUCAUGUACUUCCUAUGAGGCGUAAAACCAUGCACAUACUUUUAACUGAAGAUGCAUUAAGAAAACAAUAAAAUAGGCUAGCAAAAAGAACCCUCUCAAGCUAAAUGAGCAUCAAAGACUGUAACAAAAGCACAAUAUGCUGAUGCAUUACAGAUCAGUCUUUUGUUUAGAUGUUUACAUAUCAGUCUUAGGACAGUACACUUUCAAAUGCUAACACCAAUGGGCAGAUUGUAUAAUAACAAAAAAGUCGCUCUGCCCCUCCGCGUGGGCUUCCAAAUGGCAGGAGAAUCUGGCCCGUGGCCAGAUUCCUGGCUCGGGAAAGCCCCGUGGAUUGGGCUAUCCAAACGAGCCGCUUGCCCUUGCCCCAACCAUUAUCAGAAAAGGAAAAAAAAAAGUUGCCUCAACCCUAGCCCCCCUUUUAUCCCCUAUACCCGGCUCCCUCCGCCCCUUCCCUCUCCAUUGCCGCCGCCGCUCCACUCCGCCGAGAUCGGCGGCCUCUCCUCUCCCCUCCCGCACCCGGCCUCUCCCCUCUCCCUGGCGGCGGCGACUUGGCGAGCGGCGGCGCUACUUGGUCUUCGCCAGGCCCUUUGCCGACGACGAGCACCCACCAGGUACGCCCUCCCCUUCUCUUCCCUUCCUGCUGUGCGAAGCGGAGCACCCCCAAACCCUAGUACAAGCUAUCUGUAUUCGGGUCUGACCAAGUAGCAGUAUAGUACCUACUAGCUUCGACUUUGUUUGCAAAAAUUAUCGCUGGGUCCGCCCCUGGGUGCUCGUUGUUUCUAGGCGCAGGCCUCGUCAUCUGCGAUUUGGCCAUGUGUUGUGAUUUGAGGGGGAUGGAUUCUAUGCAAUUGUUCAAUCCCAAUUGCGUACAGCGAAGUUAGAAUAACUUGAUAUGCUUGGUGCAGCUACGAUAAGUGGCUCUUGCUAGUUUCUCUCUGUAUCUUGGAUAAUCAAUUGCUUCCUUCGAGUAAAUUGUACCGAUUUCCAUCAACUUAUGUGCUUAGUUUAGGUCUGUCAGCUAUACUUGUUUUGCUGUAAAUUUGCUGCUGGGUUCAUGAACUUCAUGAUCAAUGUAGAGUUAUAGAUUGUAGAGACCUAUAGUUUCUCGGGCCAGGGGCAACUGGAUUGCAUCUAAGCAUGUUUAUUUCAGUGGUGAUGUUGUUAACCCUUGUUUGAUUAGUUCAGAAUAGAUUUGAUAGAAGAUGGGCUGGUUUUACAAGAAAAUUGACUCACUUUCUGCAAAGUCAAAUCACUGCUAUUAGCCCCUGUUUUUUUUAAAAAAAAUUCAAGCAGAAGUUUUUUUUCCCCUGAUAUGAAAGUUCUGCCAUUUAAGAUUUUAAUCUUACUGCCUUUUGUGGCUUAGCUUGGAUGUUUGAUUGUCCUGCUACAAUUUGGAAACAAAUAUUAUGUGCAUGCUUAUGCUUCUGUUAGCUCUUUUGUUAUACAUUCGACAUGAUCCAUAGUUUUUGAAAACUUUAUUGAAUUAUACCAUGCCAAGUGACUGUUACCCUGACACAUCUUUUUUGUUUGGUUAGGAAAAUGUCGUCUAAUCCUGAUGGAGGCAAGAGCUAUGCUCGCAGAGAUCUCUUGAUCGCAAUUCAAUCAGAGGCUCAAAAGCUGUGGGAUGAGAAACGGGUUUUUGAGGCUGAACCAGGCAAUGGUCGUCCCGGGCCUGGCGAAAAAUUCUUUGGCAACUUUCCGUAUCCUUACAUGAACGGAUUGUUGCAUUUGGGCCAUGCCUUCUCGUUGUCCAAGCUUGAGUUCGGUGCUGCGUACCACAGACUGCGGGGCUCCAAUGUCCUUUUGCCGUUUGGUUUCCAUUGUACUGGAAUGCCUAUCAAGGCCUCAGCAGAUAAGCUUGCAAGGGAAAUUCAGCAAUAUGGUAAUCCUCCAGUGUUUCCUGCAGUAGAGGAUGAAGUCAGCUCAGAAGUAGCAGAUAGCCAGGCUGACCAGGCUGUUGCUGUUGCCCCAGAUAAAUUUAAGAGCAAGAAAGCUAAGGCUGCUGCAAAGACUGGUGUGCAGAAGUUCCAAUGGGAGAUCAUGAGGGGUUUUGGCCUGUCAGAUGAAGAAAUUGCUAAAUUCCAGGAUCCAUAUCACUGGUUGACAUACUUCCCUCCAUUGGCGAAGGAGGACCUUAAGGCUUUUGGUCUAGGAUGUGAUUGGAGACGGUCAUUCAUAACGACCGACAUGAACCCGUUCUAUGAUGCUUUUGUCCGGUGGCAGAUGAGAAAGCUGAAGAAAAUGGGCAAGGUUGUUAAAGAUAUGAGGUAUACAAUCUACUCUCCAUUGGAUGGCCAACCUUGUGCUGAUCAUGAUCGAGCAUCAGGUGAAGGUGUGCAGCCACAGGAAUAUGUGUUGAUUAAAAUGGAGGUGAUCCCACCUUUCCCACCUCAGUUGAAGGCAUUGGAGGGGAAGAAAGUUUACUUGGCUGCAGCUACACUGAGACCUGAGACGAUGUAUGGGCAGACAAAUUGUUGGGUACUGCCUGAUGGAAAGUAUGGGGCCUUUGAGAUCAAUGAUACUGAUGUCUUCAUUCUGACUGCAAGGUCUGCUCUUAAUCUUGCAUAUCAAAAUCUAUCAAGGGUCCCACAGAAGCCAACAUGCUUGGCUGAGAUAUCUGGAAAUGAUCUGAUUGGUUUGCCGUUGAAGUCUCCUCUUGCCUUUAAUGAAAUCAUAUAUGCGCUUCCUAUGAUGACCAUCCUAACAGAUAAAGGGACUGGCAUUGUGACUAGUGUUCCAAGUGAUUCUCCAGAUGAUUUCAUGGCGCUGCAAGAUUUAGUCACAAAACCAGCUCUGAGGGCGAAGUUUGCUGUCAAAGAUGAGUGGGUUCUUCCAUUCAAGGUUGUUCCAAUAAUCAAUAUCCCUGAAUUUGGAGACAAGUCAGCUGAGAAGGUGUGCUUAGAUCUAAAGAUUAAGAGCCAGAAUGACAAGGAGAAGCUUGCUGAAGCAAAGCGGAUGACAUAUUUGAAAGGAUUCACUGAUGGAACUAUGAUUGUAGGAGAGUUCAAGGGCAGAAAAGUUCAAGAUGCGAAGCCAUUGAUAAAGAACAAGCUUCUGGAAGAAGGUGCUGCAGUGUUGUACAGUGAGCCUGAGAAGAAGGUAAUGUCGAGAUCUGGUGACGAGUGUGUAGUUGCUCUCACGGACCAGUGGUAUAUAACAUAUGGUGAGGCUGAAUGGAAGCAGAUGGCAGAGAAAUGUUUGGAAAAUAUGAAUACCUUCUCAGCUGAGACCCGCAAUGGCUUUGAGCACACUUUGGGCUGGCUGAACCAGUGGGCCUGCUCACGCUCGUUUGGUCUAGGGACUCGCAUCCCAUGGGACGAGCAGUUCCUUGUGGAAUCUCUUUCAGAUUCGACCCUAUAUAUGGCUUAUUACACCGUCGCGCAUCUUUUGCAAAAUGGCAAUCUGUAUGGCAAAGAGAUAUCUGCUAUCAGGCCAGAACAAAUGACGGAUGAUAUCUGGGAGUAUGUGUUCUGCAAUGGUCCAACACCAAAAAGUGACAUCCCUCCUACCCUUUUGAGCAAAAUGAAGCAGGAAUUUGAGUACUGGUAUCCCUUUGAUAUCCGGGUUUCUGGUAAGGAUCUUAUCCAGAACCACCUGACGUUCUGCAUUUACAACCAUACAGCAAUUCUACCAGAACACCAUUGGCCCCGUGGCUUCCGUUGCAAUGGGCAUCUUAUGCUCAAUUCUGAGAAGAUGUCCAAGUCGACAGGGAAUUUCCGUACUCUUAAGGAGGCCAUUCAAGAAUUCUCAUCUGAUGCCACUAGGUUUGCACUUGCUGAUGCUGGUGAUGGUAUGGAUGAUGCAAACUUUGUCUUUGAAACUGCAAAUGCUGCUAUCUUGAGGCUUACAAAGGAAAUUGCAUGGAUGGAAGAGGUGGUAGCUGCUGAAUCUUCUCUGCGAGCUGGCCCUCCAUCUAGUUAUGCUGACCAUGUUUUUGCCAAUGAGAUAAACAUUGCUGUCAAGGAAACUGAGAAGAGCUACAAUGCCUUCAUGUUCAGAGAUGCACUGAAGUCUGGGUUCUAUGACCUGCAGCUGGCUAGAGAUGAAUACAGACUCUCUUGCGGAGCGGCAGGCAUGAACCGUGAUUUACUGUGGCAAUUUAUGGACGUCCAGACGAGGCUUAUCACCCCUAUCUGUCCACAUUACGCAGAGCAUGUGUGGCAAAAGAUCCUGAAGAAAGAAGGCUUUGCGAUUAAAGCUGGGUGGCCAGUGGCAGACACCCCGAACCCCACUCUAAGAAUCGCAAACAAGUACCUGCAAGAUUCUAUAGUUUUAAUGAGGAAGCUGCUUCAGAAGCAAGAAUCUGGUUCGAAGAAACCCAAGAAGGGAGCUGCAUCUGCUCCUCCUCCGUCAGAGAACAAGAUGAGCAUUGGUCUUAUAUAUGUGAACGAACACUACUACGGCUGGAAAGAGCAAUGCUUGAAGGUGCUCCAGUCUAAAUUCGACAGCCAAGCACGUUCCUUUUCACCAGACCAGGAGAUCAUAGAAGCUUUGAAGAACUGUUCCAUCGGACAGGAAGCAAACUUCAAACAAGUUCAGAAGCUGUGCAUGCCCUUCAUCAGGUUCAAGAAAGACGAGGCGAGGGAGGUUGGCCCUCAGGCUUUGGAGUUGAAGCUUCCUUUUGGUGAAAUGGACGUGCUGCAGGAGAACCUGGAGCUGAUCAGAAGGCAGUUGGGCCUCGAGCAUGUAGAGGUGUUGUCGGCAUCUGAUGAAGCUGCCCGUGCUAAAGCUGGCAAGUAUGCGUCUCUACUGAACCAGAACCCGCCGUCUCCUGGCGAGCCAGUUGCAAUCUUCAUGAGCAAGCAGGAAUUCGAAGCCCAAAACUGAGGUCGCGCUUGGCUUUUGAGUUGUCGUCGUUGAUAACAGGAGUGUUACUGUUUCUCUCUUUUUUGUCUGCCCCCGGACAUGUUACAGUUUGAUUAGCUUGGAGCUUUUGCGGCGCAAACAAUUUUCUCUUCUCUGUAAGGCCAGUUCAUCGUAAACAUAGACAAUGCCAAACUGAUGCUACCUAUCGUGUGUCCUUUUUUUUUUCUUUCUCCAUUACAUGGCUUUCCUUUCAUGUUUUGGUGCUAUGGUUAAGGAGGGCACACUUGGAAGCAAUGUGUCCCAAUAUUGGCUUGACAGUUCGUAUUGUGAAGCACUUUCCUGAAUAUCCCGCAGGGUUUGUCAUUUGUGUGCGUGGCAAACAGGCCCUUGUACCAGUUAACUUUUUGUAGUGCCAUAUUGAAAAUAGUUUGUGUAACUUGCCCGUGUAGUAGUUGCAAAGCACUGGGCGUUCAGGUAUUACUGCUGAGAAUUUCCUUGAAUUUAGAGGCUCAACACAAUUUUGCUUUAAAAGGUGUCGUCCCAAUAAAACAUAUAAUAUUAUAAUGACAUGACGCUUCUUGGAUGCGAUUAUGCUGUUUGGGCUGAUCCCUGGCUGAGUUAUUGGGCCUCCAAAUCUGGUUUUUUCAUGAAUGGCCGUUGGACCUGGAAGCGUAUUUCGCACGUGUAGAAAGGAAUUGGCUCGCUGGAGACCUCGAGAGUCGAGGGAGCUCAUCCGCUUGCGGUUGAAGAAGAUGAUCAAGCUAGCUGAGGUCGAAUUGCCGGUGGGAAGAGCGGCAAAAAAUUCGAGUGGACAAAGGCUAGUAAAUUCGAGCGUGACAAGGGCUAGCAGGAAAUGCUUGGAUGAAACUAAAUAUAGCUCUCUCCAAAAGAAGAGUGCCAGACCAAUGGCAGGAAUCUAUGACACUUUGGAAAUAAGAUUGAAUCGACAAGGAAAAAAAAACUGAUUUUCAUCCAUGUCUCAAAAAUUUAUCCAAUCCACCACUCCCCAAGGACCCCAUGGACUUUUAUUGGUCCUAGACAUUGCAUUUCUAUAAACAUACUAUCCCUUUGCCUACACUUUUCCCACAGUUGCACAGUAGGUUUGUCAUCCUGCAUGCUCGCAACUGAUGCCGAGCUGCACUUGGAAUGUUUGAAAUGGACAAAUCUGACAUAAAAAAAUUGGGUGAGAUGUCGUCCUUCAACCGCAUGAAAAUGAAAGUUUUCUUUGGGAAGCAAAGUUCACGAUCACCCAGCUCUCAUCUAGCUAGUCUUCAUCCUUGCUGCCUAGGAAACUAUUGUUCACACCAUUGACUAGAGAAACUGCCUGUCAAAAACAACUGCUAGUAGAAAAACUGUAAUUCCAGCCCCAUUAAAUUUAGAGUACACUAGGCCUGGGAAAAGUCUCUAGAUGGCAGGCCCUUCCACUCAAAUCGAGAUACAACAAGACUCUCCAUGCAAUGGCCUAAUUGAGCUGCAUCAAGGUUUGCUGAUGGAAAAGAGAAGAGAACUACGCGGCUACGCCAGGACUUUGAUCGGAAUUUGGACUCUGACCUGGAUAGCACCCUCCUUGUCGUCAGGAGGCACGAUAAACUGGAUGCGGUCGUCAGGAUUGGGCAACCCGCUGGAGAGAUCUUCCGUGCACUCGAAGUUGAUCCCCGUUUGCAGAUGAUGGCAGCCCAAGCGCUUGCGACUCUCACCGUAGAGGUCCCGUUCGUACCACAGCCAACAGUAGUUCAGCCUCUCUGUGGGCUGCUUCCGGCCCAUGAAGUGCAUGGUGAUGCCGCGGCCUUCCGGCCGCCGCGUCACGUUCAGCAGGAACAUGGUACUGGCCGCCGGCGGUGUUGGCGGCGGCGGGGCGAGCGAGGAUGAAGUUGAAGCCGUCGUGGAGGGGGACGAGGACGAACGCGCCGGCUCUGAUCUUGGUGGUGGAAGGCCAGCCAUGCGUCGUGCCGGUGAAGUGGCCUCGGAGCGCCUUGAUCGAGCCGAGGAAGCCGCAGCCCAUGCCCGGGCAGCGUAGCGGAGCAUGCGGGCACACCCGGCGGUGAUCGCCCUCGUCGUAUAGUAGGCUGGCCUGGCGUCGCAGCCAUAGGUGGCGUUUGAGCAUGGGACGCGGAUGUACUCCACCAGGCACUCCAUGGCGCGGCACCUGUGGUAGCUGCUAAUGGCGACGCCGCACACGCUGGCGCGAGCUUGUCGCGGCAAGCCGAGCAAACCGCAUGGCCCUCGUGGCACUGCAGGGGCGUAUUAUAUGUUGUCAGCAUGCACGAGAAUGGAAGUCAUCAUAACUCAAUAAAUUGCGUACCUGAAAGAUUGGGGGCUUGAGUAGGAAGUAGCACACGCCACAGUGAAGGGCGUCGCGGUGUCCUCCGCCGCCACAUAUGCCACCGCCACCAUCCUAGCCACCGCCGACCGCGGACUGGAGGAUCCCUUCUCCUUGCGGGCCGCCUUCACCGAGGUCUUACGCUCCGCCCGUUUCGCUGCGCGAUAGGUUGUUGUGAAAGUGUCGUCCGAGGAAGCCUCGACCUCCUCCACCGUCGCCGCCGUGCUCUCUCUACGGAUCUCCACUCUAAUCAGAUCGCAAAUUAUGGAAACCCUAGUAUCCUCUUUGUCAGGAAAAUUAAUAUUUUUUUGCCAUAGUUGCCAGUGGCAUACUCUAAUAUAUCACUCUGUAGCUGAUUUAUUUAUCAAAUUGCUAAUCAUUUGCCAAAUUCACAUGUGUUGCUGCCCACAUCCGCGCCACUACCUUUUGUGCAGUGGGCGAGUAGCGAGGAUGUGGGCGUGGCCUUAAAACGAGGCUGGGCUUUCUGGCGACGCUCCAGGAGGUGAUGGAUGUGGCAUUGUGGCCAUGGGUGGAUUAGGAAGUGGUUUCAAGUCUUAGCUGCUGUCACUAAUACACUACACAUACGCUAGUUAAGCCUUGAUCUGUUUAUCCUCGGCUCUAAUACAUCUGCCUUCACUGUCACACAGGAACCAUAAAAUGGAGAACGCCCUGGUGGCAGGCCACAGUACUGGAACUUCGGAUCCAUGGUUAUAUUAGCUGACACACAGAAACAUGUGGAAAAAGCAUGGCCCUCACCAUGGCUGCGCAUCACUAGUCAGGCGCGGAAAAUGCUGGUUUCGAUCGGUCCAGGGAGGGAGCAGCUACCAAAGCUUUCAACCAUGGCAUAUGAGGCCUCUGAUACAAUAAUGCUGCUACCUCCUGCGCACGAGUCAGCUGCUAGACUUUGCUUCUAAUAAGAUUCGAUACAUGUGUAUAGCUGCAACUUCACGUCUUGCAUUGAGGGCCUGGUCUCACAACGUUUCAAGUCACCCCACUUGGAAGAUGGAUCACUGAACCACCUCUUCCUCCCUGAGCACCAGGCACCAGGAUGGCUCCAAAUCGUUCAGUAUGCUGCCGUCGACCAAGGGGCUCUAUCCGAGGUUCACCAUUCCAGCCCAGAUCAAUGAUGGGGAUAUCAGUUGCUUUCAAGAAAAAAAGAAGAAGAAAAUGCAGAGCCGAGCGUCAUAUUUUCAGGCACACCCCUAGGCCCUAGCUAAGAACAAUUCAAAAGUGGGGCUGUCCCUCCAGGAUCAACAAAAGAAAACUCCACUUUGUCACUGCCAAUGCAAGCCAGUUCACUGGGAUCAACCCUUGCGUAGCAUACAGACACAACCAGAAAACUAAACUAUUGACUGGUGAGUGAUGCCGUGAUGAUGGACAAACACCAGAUCCUAAUUUACAGCAUUAGUUGAGAGUAAUCUACAUCGGUCUAAUUUAUAAAGAUAAGGACUGUGACCAUGAUAGCGUCCUUGUCAGAGUCUGCAACAACCGAAUCUGGCACCAUGAACUGGUAGCAGCUGUCAGGGCUGGGCAGCCCAUUGGAGAGAUCAGUGCAUGCUGCUCCGAACCUAGAUUUCUGGUAAUGCUCGAUAACCUGGUCGCCAUUGCAGGGGCGGCUCUUCACGUACCCUUGGUACGAGAGCUCAAAUAUCAUUUCGUUCCAUGACGGUCCAUGACUGCCACUACCGGCUGUGGUGGCGUGAGGAUGGAUGCAGAGCACUGAGAUGGCACGGCCAAGCGGCUGGCGUGCCACGUUCAGAAGAAACAGGUACUGCCUGCUAGCGGUGGAGGUGGAGCUUUGACCAUCUAUGGUGUGGUCGGCAAGUAGGAAGUUAAAAACCAUCGUGCAGGUGGAGGAUGUUGAUGCAUUCAAGGCUGCCGUAGUAGUCAUCUUGGAGGCAGAGGCUGCUGAACCCCUCGCUAACCUUGCCCUUGAAGCACGGCCAGCUGUGGACGCCAGAGCAGUGGUCCAGCAGUGCCGCCAUCGAUCCAAUGAAGCCACAGGCCUCACUUGGGCAGUGGCAUGGCGCGUGCACACAUGUCUGGCUGUGGUUAUGCUUAUCAUAGUAGGCUGGCCUGACAGUGCAGCCGUGGGCAGCAUUUGGGCACUGGAUGCGAAUGGACUCCACCAGGCGCUCCAUGACAUGGCACCGGCUGUAGCCACCGGUUGCGACACCACAGGCAUGGCACUUGCCAGUGGCCUUAAGCUUGUCACGGCAUGGCGAGCACACCACGUGACACGCAUUGCACUGCCAGCAUAUGAAACAGCAUAAGCAUCUAGAUAAAUUAUCUAUGAAUGAAUCAGUGACAUAAAAUGUAUGGGCAGAGAUAACAAGCAAAGGCAACAAGACUGGAAAGUGGAAACUAUUUAAAAACAUCCAAACAAAAUUAAAUUUUUCAGAGAGAACUGAUUAGAUUUUAGUAAAAAUAAAAUGCGAUGAGCUAAUAAACGAGAUAAGGAAGGUUAUCACUGCAUUACAAUACCUAAUAUACUCUAACAAUGGUCUUUUUUUAGAACCUCUAGCAAUGGUCUUUGUACAUCAGUACAUGUUGCUAAUAUGCUCACUUCAGUGACUGAAGGUAGAGGUUGAUGAGCGGACUUGCAGGGUGUUUUUUAAGUUGAAGCUGAGGUUAGUUAGAGCAAGGGGGCGCAGAUAAUGAAGAGAAUCCUGAUUAUCAUGAUGUUGACAAGGAAGAAGAAAGGGAAUUUGGGAAUAAAACGAAAGAGAGGGCAUUUGGGAAUAAAACGAAAGAGCCUUAACAGAGAUGGUAAGGACACUGCUGCUGAAAAAUAUGUGCGUUCAAAUUAGGCAAGUAUUUCUGGGGGUAGUAGGACUAGAGGUCGUGGUAUGGGCAGAUAACCAUCAGUGGUGUGGAACUGUGGAUGCUAAAAGAUUGAGGGCAACAAUAUCUUGGUUAGCUGCCUGCUAGGUAGAAAGAUGCGGUGCAAUCCAGUAGUGUUUCACCAAAUCAGGUUGUGGGGCGGAAUCGGUAUAGGUUGCUUGUUUAAUUUGGUGCUGCACUGCUGCACGAGGGUGUGGAAUUUCAGUUAAUAAAAUCAGAAAGGGCAUUAAUAGUGCUUAACCACAGCACUUGGCUGUUUUGCAAAGUGAGAGGAUGCUGUCACGGAUUACAUUGGGCAGAUUGGGACUCUGAUUCUGAGGAGGGUGAUACGUCUGAUGAUCGACUUCUGCAACUACUGCAGAAUGAAUAUUGCAGCUUGUAUUACAGAUGCAAACCUGACCUCUGAUGAUUGUAAAGACAACGAUCAAGUGAACACUUACAGUUGAUGACAUAGAAAAGAAAAACUGGGGUGCAGGAUAGGGGUAUGGCUUCAGAUGAAUUUCAAUCCGCAGAUGAUGAGGCCCAGUUGGUUCCUAACCCUUAUGGAAUUAUGAGUGGCCAAGAUGAGAAGCACUGUGAAUACAUAGUAGGUUUCUUUUAUAUCACCUCCAAUGGUUGGUAUGACAGUCCUAAAGUGAUUCUAGUAUUGCUAACCGGCAUAGAGUGAGUGAGGAAACUUUUAAAGGUGUAAUGGGAAAGACCAUUUGAACACUACAAUAAAACAAUGGUAAGAUGAAGUUUGUGUGAACUCCUACACAACAAGAACAUUAUGAGAAACUUUGAAGUUUGGAAAGGGGUGACUGGGUGAAUAAUUCUUUGCAUUAAGUUAAUGGCAAUGUGAAUUUGUGCUAAGGGAUACUAAUGUUGGACUUUGGGAAUAAAAUUUGAAGCAAUUCCCUGAACUAGACUUGCAGGGUAAGCUACAUAGGCUCCUGGAAAUUAUUCAGGGCUUCGAGUUUGGGAGCACUGAGGUAAUUAAGGUGUUUUGUGAUACCAAGAGAAACAUAUUAAAAAGCUCAAAGGGUUAUUGAUAAAGAACCGCAAACAGUCACUGGAAAUCAAAUGGCCAAGCAGGUUGUCUGGGAGCUGCUUUUUCUUGUGAUAAGAAUCAUGAGCUGUAUAGGUAAUCUUACGACCAAAACUACUCCCUCCUGUCACAAAUAAGUGGCGUUUUUGGCCAUCAAAGAGGUCUUCAAAGACACAACUUUGACUAGUACUUUUUUUUGUUACGAAAGGUUUAUAAAACACUGCAAAAGUAUAAAUUUAUCAAACUACAUUUCGAGACAAAUUAAUCUAUUCACAUCAUUAUGGAAAGUUCAAACUGAAUGCAUAGAAGGUAAUAUUUUUUUUUUGAGGGUCACCGGGGGGGGGGGGGGGUCCCCACCUGAACUUCAUUAAGGGGCCUUAGGUAGGCCAAAACCGGUACAAAAUUUUCAGCAAUAAAAAACAUGAGGGGUUUACAACCAGAGUACAAUAUAACGUAAAAACACAAUACACAAUACAUACUCACACAGACACUUCAAAUAACAGGCCAUGAUUCAAACCGAAAAACCAUCGAUCAUCGAUUUGAGUCACCAUUGAACAACAUGCUCACCAGGUACGUCAUGGCCAUUGCACAUCUAAUCCGCCCCUCAAAACUACCCUGCUCUAUUGUCACCCUCCAUCUGAGAGCCAGGCCAACGAAAUGGGGACCAAAGGUGGUAGGAGGCAUGCAAAUCAAAACGCACCGGACAUGGGGACCUCCCUUGAAGCUGAUGUUAAUACCAUUUGCCGCACAUCCAGGGCUCCACAUACUGCCACCCAACGCAGUACAAGUGAGGAAACCUCGAGGGGAAUGGUAGUAGAGGGGAAAACCACCUGCAUAAGAUUUGAUCGCACCAUCACACGAGAGCACCGACAUAGUAGAGGUGCAAUGGGAACAUCAUGAACACAAUAGAAGUCGACACCAUAUCCGCGACAGAAGAAGUGUAUGUAUGGAUGAUGUAGAAUAAGAGGAUGAGCAUCACCAUGAGCAGUCCUGAUAAGCGGCAGCAGGGGAUCUCCAAAGCGAUGCCUUCACGAAGGGGAUGACGUCGAACACACGCCGCCAUCGCUGAAUUGGAAGAUUUGAAAAUGGGUUUACACCCAAAGUCCCCCCGAGCGGAAUUGGAGCAAGGGUGCUACGAUGAUGCCUUCAAGAAGAAAGAUGAUGCCCCAAGGCAUCACCGUCACCGGCCCUGGCAUUAUGCUAGGCAGAGCUUUCGCCCAGCACCCACCAUAGGCUAGCUGCCAAGACCUCGCCGACAUCAUUGGGGCUGAUCGAUUGCUGCAGGUACACAGCAGCAGCCACACCCCAACGGACGCAGCGAGCCGCCGGCAUGGCAGCGCAUGUCGCUGCCACAUCAGCCAUGCUGCCCCCCACUCGGCGCCAUGAAGCAACACCGGAAUGAGCUCCACAACAGCCACCCUUGGGGAGAAGCCCGUCCCCGCCGUAGGAUGUUGCAGCAGCAAGCUGCCGUCAAAGCAGAGGCUUCGACGGAACUGAGGGGGCGUCCGGGGAAACUCCAGACCGCCGGAACCCCGCCCGCACUCCAUGGCGGCGCUGUCGCCCCCGAGGAUGGCGACGACGACAACUAGUGGGUAGGUCACAUGACGGCGUGGGGAAACGCUAGAUCCAGCUGUGUGGGAUGUGGAUCUAACCGUGGCGACCCGCAAGGCCGCUUGCAGCCACCACGGUGUGCUCGGCCGUGGUUGCCAUCUGUUGGAGGAAGAAUGCUCGAGAAAGGAAGGGAUUUGUGGAGGAGGCUCAGCCGCCGCCAUCCUUGUGCCCGCAUGGGCUUCCUGCGGUGCGCUCAGGUGGCGGCGAGGUGGAGGGACGAAGAAGGGGAGGGCUGUAGGUGUGGCGGCGGCGGUCUGCCCGGUCACCCUGGGGACGACGCGAGCGGCUCACGCAGUUUCCCCUUUUGUCCGCAAGGUGAAAUUUAGUCCAUAGAAGGUAAUAUGCAACCAAAAAUUUAGUCCAUAGAAGGUAAUAUGCAACCAAAGUUUGGAAUAUUUGACUUAACACGACCCAAAAUAUCACUCAUUCAUGAUUGGAGGGAGUAGUUGUUAUGCCAUUUAAAGGGGGAACUUUUGUCUGCAGCAAAUGGUGAGGAUGAAUAGAGGUGAUGCCAUGGCUUUGCCGGGCGGGGAUCCAUGAGCCGAGAACACUAAUUUUGUGACGUCACGUCGUCACCUAUGCCUAGUUCAUGUGCAACUGAUGUAACGAGCUCGUGUCCAUUGUACUAUGAUUUCUGCUGGGUGGGCUCUGGAGUGUCAAAAUUACCCCCUUUCAAAAAGAAUUAAUAGACUAUCUUUGUGGAUUAAAUAGAAUAAGGUUCUAUCGGGGCAAUCUGGGGUUUAGUGUGUUCCUGGAAGUGGAAGAUGGGGGCUUCAAGGGGACGAAGCACGCGCCGCAGUGGAGGGCGUUGGUGUCCUCCACCGCCACGACCCCCGCCCCCGCCGCGCUCUCAGGACGCGCGCCCGCCGCCGGCGUCGCGGGAGCGGAGGAGCCAUUCUCCUUCUUGGGGCCAGCGCGCGCUUGCCGACCUCGCCGUGAGCGGAGACGCGUCAUCGGAGACAUCCUCCUUCUCCAGCGUUGGUGGCAUCUCACUCGCUCCCGUGGCUAGCGUGCGUUGUACCAGCAGCCCCAGUCCAGCACCCUGCGUGCAAGCCGAGGCGCCCCUUCGUCUUCUCCUUGUACAUGGAAUGGAAGUGUUGGGAAGUGGAAACGCAAACGCCAGCCCACAAAUCGCAAUUAUGUUUGUUUGUUUGUUUUGAAAAAUUGCUUAUGUGACCUAGGAUGUUGAUUUGAUUUAGAAAUGUACCAUUAUAAACUGAUCUAGCACAUUUUUUUUUACAACACCACCAAAAGGUUGCAAAGAACUUUAUAUAGUAAAGCCUUUUACCCUUUGCAUUAUAUUGUUAGAAAUAAUGCAAUAACUAAUAAUAUGUUUUCAGAUGCACCAGAAACACUAGCAUUAGCGAAGACCUCUACUAUAAUCCUUUGUCCACUGAAGAGGAGGGUGAGAAGGAAGCGCGAUCUGGUGAUUCUCAGUUGGAGAAUUAAGUAGAUGGAGAAACGGGAAGACCCUCAUCCCGCUGCAACAUUAGGUGCUACGCAUACGCCUAUCAAGCCUUCUUGUCAGAUGAUCGAUGUCUUCAUAAUGUUGGCCCAAGCCAACAAGGCUUCUUGUCAGAUGAUUGAUGUCUUCAUAAUGAGAUCUGCUAUUCUGUGAUUUUUAGUUUGGGUAGAAGACAUGUUGUAUAUGUGUUUUGGAACUUUGUCAUUGCCAUCUUUCUUGUCUUGAGAUCAACUCUUGCAUGCAUAUACAAACACCAAGAAAUGAAACAAGUGGUGGGCAACAUGAGGUCCUAGUUAACAAAAACAACAGAUAACUACUCCAGAUUGAUGAUGUCGACACGGACUUCGAUGUGCAUAGCAUCCUUCUUGUCGAUGUUUCUAAGAACGGAAUCCGGCACUAUGAACUGGAAGCAAUCAGCAGGGUCGGGCAGCCUAUCGGCGAGAUCCAUGCAUUCUACAUUGAUCUCAGAUUGCAGAGAAUGGCUGCCCAGGAACUUAUGACGAUCAGGGUGGUAUUGUACCCGUGAGUAGCUGAGCACACAUCUUAGUCCUUCUGAGCGCAAUUCUUGACCGAUGAAGUGCACGGUGAUGGAGUGGCCAAGUGGCUGCCGCAUCACGUUCAGGAGUAACAGGUACCGACUGCUGCUGCUGGUAGUGGUGAAAUGAUCAUCGUCAUCCUCAUCGUCCUCAACGAGGAUGAAGUUGAAUCCAUCGUAGAGGGGAAUGCUGCAUGUCUCAAAGGCUCUGAUCUCGGUGGUGGAAGGCCAUCCAUGUGCGCCGGUGAAGUGGUCCAGGAGCGCCUCUGUAGAACCAAGGAAGCUGCAGUCCUUGCCCGGGCAGCGGCGUGGUGCAUGUGGACACGUCUGGCAGUGGACAUGCUGAUCGUAGUAAGCUGGCCUGGCACCACAGCCAUGGGCUGCAUUCGGGCAUGGGACACAGAUGGACUCCACCAGGCGCUCCAUGGCGUGGCACCUGUGGUAGUUAUGCGUGGCAAUGCCGCAAACAUGGCACCUGCCCUUUGGCGCAAGCUUUUCACGGCACGGCGAGCACACCACAUGGCCCUCGUCACACUGCACAGGCACAUGUCACCAGCAUGUGAAGAUGGAAUUAUCCAUGAAUCAAUCAAUAACAUACUGUUCUAUGCUCAAAGAUAAAAAUCAGAGGUAACCGAGAACUUCCAAAAAGAACAGUCAGAAAAAUCAUUUUUUUAGCCAGAACAUGUUAUGCUCAGUGAUUUGUUGCAAUGAGCUAUAUCUCAAAAUGGCUUUAAAUAGAUGUAAAAAUGCAGAUAGAAAUUGCUUGCAAUGUCUAUGCUUGAGACAAUCAGUUUUCAACUAAAUUCCAAGCUAUGGAAACUUUCACUACCAUGUCCUCAAUUCUUAGGAUUUAUUCGUAAUAAUAUGAGCCUUUUUUUAUGCAACAAUUGCUCCGUAGGAUAAAAGAAGGGUAAUGAAUGAAGCAUAGUACCGUUACAUUGAAAUCUGGGACAGCUCUAGAUUAUUUCACUUAUCACUUGGAUAGAGGGUGUUUUGCGAAAUGGGAUCUCAAAUGCAAGACAGACAAACUGACCCCACAUCUCAUUAAGGCAUAGAGCUAAAUAAAUCCUGAAUUAUGACUCUAAUUAGUGGGAAAUCAUGAAACCUUCCUUCUGUUCACAUGCUGCUAAUAGCCUAGUAUACAAUUUCAGUGGAGAGGUGGAGGCACAGAUAAUGGAGGAAAACCUGAUGAGGACAGUAAGAAAAUGGACUGUUCUUGGUUGAAAGUUUGGGACCAAAUACCAAAGGAAAACAAAGAGGAAAUUGGAUCUACAGCCUACUAAAUAAUAUGUUUCAGAGCCCCACCCCAGUGCUUCUACUCUGAUUGCCAUAUUAAGCGGGUUCUUUUGAAACACAUAACACUCACUAGAAAUCAAUUACUUGACGCAGCUGCCACUGGGAUAGUAAAUGCAGUUUGUGUGACAAGGCUGAAUCUGCAGACCAUCUUUCUGUUUGAGGAAGAUUCUAUUUCCUGGCCGUGCUGCUGUAGCCAGUCAAGGAUGGAUGUGUUUAUAUCAAUUGGGGCUGAUAAAACAACCUCCUUGUAUUUUCGGUAUCAGGUUUAUAGUGCAGGGUCAUGGAGUUGUAAUUAGGGCAGAAUUUGUGGGAUGACACUAAUCUGGGAGUAAUGGAAACAGUGUAAAAACACAUUUAAAAAAAAUCAUGUACUUUGAGCAUGGAGUUUCUUUGUCUGUGGCAAAUUAUUUUCAAUCAUGGGUCUUGCUGUACAAAUGACAAAAUUGAAGUUAUGCAAUUUGUAGGUAUAGAAGUGACGCUUUGGCUUUGCCGGAAAUGAGGGCAUCCAUGAGCCAAGAAUACUAAUUUUAUAAUGUCACCAGUAUGCAGUCGAUGUACAGACAGAGAGCUCAUGUCCCAUGGUUUCAGUUGGUGGACACGAGGAAUCGCUAGAAAUCAGGUUGCUUAAAACUCAUAAUAUAGCUAUGUAUACUGACUGGUUGCAGUUGCAGGACUUGUGGUUCCACUAACGAAAUGCUGCUAAUUUGUACGGUAUGGAUCAUCGGCGGCUACGUGUAGGGUUUAGAGUUUACCUGGAAGAUGGGGGGCUUGAGCGGGAGGAAGCACACGCCGCAGUCGAGGGCGUCGGUGUCCUCCACCGUCGCGUCCCCCGCCGCCGCCGCUGCCGCUGCCGCAGCUCUCCCCGGCCGCUCCCGCGACGCCGGCGUUGCCGCAUCGGGGGAGCCGGAUCCCUUGCUCUUCUUGCGGACGCCAGGGGUUGCCCGAGUCGUAGUUGCUCUCUUCCCCGCAGUUUCAUGGACCUUCCACCGCCGCUCCUCUCCUGCCUUAAAAGAUUCGCCGGCGCGAAGCCUCACCAUGGCUCGUCGACUGUUCUGUUCGGCCCUCCGUGCUCCAGUGCCAAGCAGCCAAACAGGGGAAGUGCCGAGAACGAGAACACCACUCUCUCUCUCUCUCUCUCUCUCUCUCUCUCUCUCUCACUGUACGCCUCUUUUCAAUUUUGCAUGGAACAGCCUCUUUUGUACAAAUUGAGGUAGUAUUAAAUUCCUCCGCGGUGUCGUACAGCAUCAGUAGUCCAGUACAGAAUCACCAUUCAUUUAGCAAGUACUCCCUCCGUCCGGGAAAGAAUGCAACUAUGGGUUGUGUGCCAUCAAAAGUAGCUCACGUUUGACCACAUUUCUAGUGAAUACUAUUCAUAUUUAUGACUCCAAAUUAAUUUAUUAUAAAAAUACAUUUCAUAAUUAACCUAAUGCUAUUUAUUUGAUAUCAUAAGUAUUGAUACUUUUUUAUCUAUAAUUGAUCAAAUUUAAGAUACAAAACUAUGAUACUGUGCUAGAAUUGCAAUCUUUUGCGGACGGAGGGAGUAGAGUCUUCUUCAGAAAAGGAAAAAAAAAUAGUAUUGGUACAACAAUUCAAAAGGGGGAAAUUGGGACAAUUGGAGGCUUAUUCCAGGUACAAGAAUAGGCAUAUGUAAGCACAAAGCUUAUCAGUAAUCCAGUAGGACUAACAAGAUCCCUUGUUCUACAAUGUCUCCAGUCCUGACAAACCUGAGAGCAAAAGGGUCUCACAACUUCAUCUGCUAGCACUAACACAAGCCGUUCAACAAAUGACCACAGCAUAUAAACUACAGUAGUUAUAUAAGCCUCUGCUUAUCAUCGGCUCUAAGCUAUCUGCCUUCGGUGUCGUAGGUGCCAAAAUGGGGAUUGCGCAGAUUAAUCGCAGAUCGAAGUGGAACUCCUCAUCUGUGACUAUGAUAAUUGCAGAGCAGUCCUCCAUGGACCAUGGCCGUGUGUAUAUUCAGGUGCCAAGAGUGCUUGUUUCCGUUCAGGCAGGUAGCCGCAAUUUAUUCAGCAGAGUGGACAGCCCUGGAAAAAGCUCAUAGCUUUCAACCAUGGGAUAUGAGGCCACUGACAUCAAUGCUGCUACCGCCUGCAUGAGUUGCUCCUAGACUUUGCUUCUUCUAAAGUCUGAUUUACGUAUUGGUGCAACUUCACAGCUUGAGGGCCUGGUCUCACAAUGUUCACGUUGCCCCACUGGGAACAUGGAUCACUGAACCACCUCUUCGUCCCUGAGCACCAGGCACCAGGAACAGGUCCACGGCUCCAACGCUUGAGUAUAUUGCCGUCGAUCUGGUCCAGCAGAGGAUCGUUCUCCCGAAACGGCCUUGCAAAAGGCGCCCCACUAUCCACCAUCUGACCGUAGUGUUCCCGGCUCAGAAAAGGGGCCUCUGUCUGAGCUGGAUCAUCCCGCUGCAUAAACCUCAAGUCGUUGUUCACAGUGAAAUUGCGGAACUCCAGUGAGUUGCAGAUGACUGAGUGGAAAUAUCCUUCCUGGGGUUGUAUUAUGUUGUUGAAGUACAUGAGAAGAAUCCGAGGGAGAUUCUCCCAAGCAAGAACGCAGUACUCUAUAAACCGCCGGUUUAAAAUGACCCAUGGAGAACCUAUUCAGGAGGAGAUGUAUGGGUAAGGAAAUAAUUCAGACCAAUGGAAAUGAACCAAGCGCAGAGAGCAAGAAAUGCCUGUGAAGAACUUGAAAGCCUCAGGAGCUGGUCGUUUCUGUGUUGCUCGAAAGAAGUUGGUUCUCCCUGACAAGUAAAUUCCAGCAUCGACUAUAAUUUGUUGAACUUUCUCAGGUCUGCGCAGAAACUUUUAUCAGUAACAAUGCAAAACAGCUAAUAUAAUUUGCAAGGUCAGAUGGCCCAUACUCUUUUGAUCCAAUGUUACUGGUGUGGUAAAUGAAGUUAAGGUCCCUUGGAACAGAGGAUAGGGCAUGAAUCAGGUCUGCAACAGGGAGAAAACAUAAAGAUUUGUCAUUAUCAAUUAAUAAAGAUAAUCACAUGUGCAUGACUAGCUGGAAUAAUUAAUGAAGCACCUCAAGCUGAUAUAUCUGUUAAAGACAGGUUUUUAUGUGGAGAACCAGAAUAAGGCCCCGUUUGGAUACACAAUGUUAAACUUUAGCACAUUACUAAACUUUAGCACCCUCAAAUGGAGUGCUAAAGUUUAGCACUUGGGGUUGUUUGGAUACAGUGCUAAAGUUUAGCACAUUGGGUGAGAAAUGACUAUAUUGCCCUCAUUUAUAACUGGCUUGGGAAAAGUGGAGAGGAGAGAGAGGGGGGCAGCAGGGGAAAAAAUGGGCUUGGGACCACUUUUAGCACCCAUUAGCACCUUUUAGCACCCCUUGGGUGUGCUUAAAGAAAAAUGGGGGUGCUAAACUUUAGCACACCCCUUUUAGCACCCCCUGUUUGGGAGCCCAAGUGCUAAAAAGGUGCCAAAAAGUGGGGUGCUAAAGUUUAGCACCCCCUCUCCAAACAGGGCCUAAGCAUGAUUGUGUUCUAGCAUUCAAGAGGGAUGUAUAACACAAUUUGUAAUUAUGAACAUCAUUUGACAUAGGCCCUACAGCAGACCUAUACAUUUGAUUGUGCGCUCUAACAGAUAAGUAUAGCAGCAGUGCCAGUUCUGGCAUGUGCAUUACUAUUCAAUGAAUAAGGGGAGCCUCCUACUAUUAAUUUUUAUACUGACAGUUCAACUUGUUAUGCAAAAUAAGACUGGCAUUGUGCCCAAUAGGCAAUUGGAACUAUACGAAAUGUGCAUGGUUGACUGAUAGUCCAGCUCUUCCGAGUUAUAAACAUUUGCUAUUUGCUACAGCCAGCACAAGCACAACUUACAUUUCUAUUCAAUGUCCUAGCUAGAAGACUACUUGUACUUGCAAUGUCCAUAUAAUAAUGGAAGAAGACUACCCCAAAUGUGCCUUGGCAGGAUCACUAUUCUUUGUAACCUAGAUUGGACCAACUAAUCCAAUGAAUUAGAAACCCCCCAUGCGCCUCAUUCCACGACCAUAAAGUGAAAUUUGCGCAGGAAAGAGAUCUUUUUUCCUGAUCUAGAGAUGCACAGAUGCCAGUGUUGAGCUGUUGGCCUACCGUCCUGGGUGACGAGGGGAUAGUCAGCGGCGUUGAGGGUGACGAACCAGUCCCAGUCAGGGUGUAGCCGGAGCAGCACGGCCGCAGCUCGGAGCGUGCCAGCGAGCCCGGAGGAGCCCACGGGCGUCCCCGCGGUGGGGUUGCCGACAACAGCAACGUUCUCGAACGCUCCAACCGCGGGCGCGGCGGCGAAGACCCCGGCGGCUAGGCUCCGGCGCUCGUCGUCGGGCGCGUCGGCGGAGAGGUGGAGCACGUACCGGUUGCGCGGGUGGUAGACCGCGAGGAGGAGCCUGAGGAGCCGCCGCCCGUCGCCGCGCGCGCCGAUGAGGAGGUAGGCGAGGCAGGGCGGCGCGUCGGGCCCUCGCCGGACGGUGGAAACGGCGGCGGCGGAGGCGGACGGGGCGACGCCCGGGAGCCGGAGGCGCGGAGCGGAGAGGAAGAGGAGGAUGAGGGAGAUGAGGAAGGAGACGGCAGCCAGCGCGAGGAAGAGGACCCGCCACCACCGCUCGCCGGGCAACCAGCCUCCGCCGCCCGCGCCCCCUUUCGCACCCCCCAUCCCCGUGCCCAUUCAGACGUAUUGCUCAGAAGCCGGAGCGGAUGAGGGAGACGAACGAGGCGUAGGAUCACGUGCGCUUCAGGAGGAGGCUAUGGUGUGGCGGCGCAGCGCGGACCGGAUCGCCGGCGGUAAGUCGCCGGAGGGUUAGAAGCGGCGGCGCGACGUGGAGGACGGAGCAUCGCAAUUUUGUCUUGGUUCGAGCGAGUGGGCGGAGUUCUCGGGGACCGCGUGGAAAUUGGGCCAUGGGCUCACAUCUUGCUCGGGCCUACUUUCGGACCCAGUAAAAGCCCAGGCGCAGGAGGUACACUCUUCAUGAAUACAGAUGGGCUGGUCGGGCCAGCAUCGUCAGCGCGCUAUAUGUUCAUUUUGGGCAGCGCCAAACCGCCCACGCAUCAUGUACUCUAAAUAAAAGCCCAAUCCUAAAAAACUAAAAGCUCGGCAUUCCUUAAUAAAAAUAAAAAAAAUAAAAGGCAGCAUGGUGGCAUAUUUCAAAUAAAAAACUACGUAUGCGUUCAAUAUAAAGAUAAGUAUCAUUGCAUAUGCAAAUAGGAAAAUCCGGCAUGGGCAUGGUCGAAGCUAUGAGCAUUUUAAGCCUGGCCUGGCCUGGCCCGUGGGCCCGACGCGAGUCCGAUGGGUUUUAGCCUGCCCAUGCCAUAUGCCAUCUGUCGGGUCCGGCGUGGUCAGCGAAAACUCAGAUAAAAAAAAUCGGGCCGGCCCAAGUCCGCUCAAUUAAUUAAUUUUAUUUAUUUUUCAACUAAAAAGAACGAGCAACUCGAGCUCGGCCCGACAACGCCCGCGGGCUGUUCGUGGGCACAAAUUUUCGGCCUGAAAUGAACUGGCCUUUUUGUCAGCCCGACCCGUAAAAUGCUGUUUAGUCGAAGCGUGCAAAAUCCACAUUUUUUGUCAUAGCAUAUGUAGCUUGUAGCCAUUGGAGUGAACUUAAAUACUGCUUGAUCCGAAAUUUGUAAUAUAGUUUACGGUACAAAAUAGUAUGGUAUAUCUUAAGAUUGUGGGUGACGUUGUCUAUCACCAAAAGAGUAAUACAACUCAAGCAAAUACCAAAGGCACUAAAACUCGAUCAUAGUAGAACUAUAUAAUAAGAUGUUUUUUCACGCGAACUACAAAAUAGGAAUAUAUAAAUUAUAAAAGGCAACAGAAAUCCAAAUCCAAAAGAAAAACUAAAACAUCCGGCACAACAUACACUUAGCAAAAAAAAAGCAAAGUUAAGGCAGCAAAAAGGGGAAAAGGACAACCUUAUUAUCAUCACCUUAGCCCCCAAGAUCUGCUUUCUUACCUUGCCGUCUCACCCAUUUGACUUCUUGUGAUGUGCAGUUGUGUGACGCUACCUUCUCCAAAAUUUACAAGCCAAACCAAACUAAAAGCAUAUUUUCCAAAAACAACUUAAAGUUGCUGAAAGAUGCUAGAAAGACCAACACACAAACCACAACAUGCGUGCUGCACUAGCAAAGCAAAAUAAAGCAACAAUAGGUAGGGUGGGAGAGAACUUUGUUUGUUGUGUCACCCAUUUAGCUUUCUUCUGUUGUAUAAUUAUGUGGUACUAUUUUCUCCUAAGUUUACAAGCCAAACAAAACUAAAAGCAUAUUUUCCGCGGGAAAACACUAAAAACUUAAUGGUAGAUGCUACAAAAACCAACACACAAACCACUACAUACGUUACUACAUCUAGCAAAGCAAAACAAAGUAACAAAAAGUACUGGGGAGAAGGAGGAUAGAUUUGCUUUUCGUCUUACCCAUCUGGCUUCUUGUGUUGUGUAAUUGUGUGACACUAUCUUUUCCUAAGUUUACAAGGAAAACUAAACUAAAAGCAUAUUUUCCACCGAAAGAACUAAAAGAUUCGUGAUAGAUGCUGCAAAAACCAACACACAAACUAUAGCAUAUGUGCUGUAUCUAGCAAAGCAAAACAAAUAAACAAAAAAGUGUGAGGACAGCUUUGCUAGAUGUCUCAUCCCUAGCUUUGCUUGCUUACCUUGCCAUGCCAUCUCACCCUAAUUUGUGAUGUUGUGCACGACAAACAGAACUGAAAAGCAUAUAUGUUUUCCAGCUAGAAAUCUGAAAUUCAAAGCAACCCAUCUAUAAAUGCUGGGGAAAUAAUUUAAUCCAGGCGCAGAAUCUAGCCUAACAGAAAAUCAUCACCUUCUCUUCUCAUCGCCUCCCCACCCCUUCCUUGAGCUUGCUGUCAUAAUUGUUGUUUUCUUUGCUUCAUUGUGUUCUAGUGGAGCAAGUGGCGGCCACGGCCACCACCAUUGGUACCGCUCUAUUCGGACCUAUGGAGGAAGAGAACCCCACCUCGACAGCAAAGGAGGAGGAGCCUCCCAAGAAAGCUGAGGCAGCUAUGGCAACCACCACCGAAGCGGCUCGAGUUGUGCCCUUGGAGGGUGAGAACCUGGCCCUGGUGGUGGAGGAGGCACCCAAGAAAGUCGAGGCGAUGAUGACUAAGGGGGAGGGGGAGGAGGAGGAGCACAAGAAGGUCGUGGUGGGUGGGCAAGAGGAGGAUGUGGGAUUGAAGGGGAAAGGUGGGGGUUUUGGGAGUUUGGAGGCAGAGAAUGAUGAGGCACAGGGUGAAGGAGAGGAUGAUGGUGGCGAGGAGGAGGAGGAGGAUGCUAAAGGCGAGAGCUCGGGUGUAGGGGAGGCCAUAAAGGAUGAUGGCGGUAGGGAACCGGCAAUGCAUGACACAGAAGUUGUCGUCGAUGUGUUGGAAGUGGCACCAGCACUGGAGUCCAAGUUGGAGAACAAUGAAUUUGGGGUGGAUGACACUACUUUGGCUUCCCCCGAUGUGCUGGAAGGUGUAGAUAAAGGUAAAUUGCAAGAGGCGUGGGAGGAGGAGGAAGUAGGUGUUACGGUGGAAGCAAAGGUUGUGAAUAAAUUGGUAGAUGAUAGGAAGAAGAAGUCGGAACCAGAAGGUGAUCAGGAAGAAGAGGUAGGUUACAAAGGUUGGGUUGGUGGUGAAUUGGGUGAAGAGAAAGAGGUUGAUCACUCUGCUGUUAGUGUUGAGGCAGUUGAAGAUAAGGGAGCCCCUUUUGCAAAAGCUAAUGGUGAAUUGGGUUAUGAGAAGGAAAUAAAUAAUGAUAUAGUAGUUGUGGAAGGUGAAGNNNNNNNNNNNNNNNNNNNNNNNNNNNNNNNNNNNNNNNNNNNNNNNNNNNNNNNNNNNNNNNNNNNNNNNNNNNNNNNNNNNNNNNNNNNNNNNNNNNNNNNNNNNNNNNNNNNNNNNNNNNNNNNNNNNNNNNNNNNNNNNNNNNNNNNNNNNNNNNNNNNNNNNNNNNNNNNNNNNNNNNNNNNNNNNNNNNNNNNNNNNNNNNNNNNNNNNNNNNNNNNNNNNNNNNNNNNNNNNNNNNNNNNNNNNNNNNNNNNNNNNNNNNNNNNNNNNNNNNNNNNNNNNNNNNNNNNNNNNNNNNNNNNNNNNNNNNNNNNNNNNNNNNNNNNNNNNNNNNNNNNNNNNNNNNNNNNNNNNNNNNNNNNNNNNNNNNNNNNNNNNNNNNNNNNNNNNNNNNNNNNNNNNNNNNNNNNNNNNNNNNNNNNNNNNNNNNNNNNNNNNNNNNNNNNNNNNNNNNNNNNNNNNNNNNNNNNNNNNNNNNNNNNNNNNNNNNNNNNNNNNNNNNNNNNNNNNNNNNNNNNNNNNNNNNNNNNNNNNNNNNNNNNNNNNNNNNNNNNNNNNNNNNNNNNNNNNNNNNNNNNNNNNNNNNNNNNNNNNNNNNNNNNNNNNNNNNNNNNNNNNNNNNNNNNNNNNNNNNAACCUUUAGAGGUUGAAAAUAUUGCUAUUGACGUAGAAGACAUUGGUGUGGAGAAGUCUAUAGAGAUUGAAAAUAUUGUGGUUGUAGAAGACGUCGAUGUAAAUCCUGAGCCAGCAAGAGAGGCAAGUAUAGUGGUAAGUCCUCAAUCUGUUUUUUUGCUAGUAAUGUUGUCUUACUAAGAAUGAUAACAAUACGUUGAUGAACCAUUCCAGGUUGUGUAUGAUGGAAGCGUAAAGGAGGUUCAUCUAGCUAGUGGAGACAAUGUGCUCAAGGAUAGUCCUUGGAAGGAGCAGGAUGCUGAAGGACUGGCAAGUACAAGUGAAGUGGUGGAAGUCUUUGGUGAUGAGAAGCCUUUAAAGGUUGAAAAUAUUGCUGCUACCAUAGAAGACAUAGGUGUUGUGAAGCUUGAGCCAACGAGCGAAGCAAGUAUAGUGGUAAGUCCUCAAUCAUUUUUUUCUAGUAAAGUUGGUCCUACAAAGAAUGAUAACAAUUCAGUUGAUGCACCAUUCCAGAUUGUGCAUGAUGGAAGCGUAAAGGAGGUUGAUCCAGCUAGUGGAGAUAAUGUGCUCAAGUAUAGUCCUUGGAAGGAGCAGGAUGCUGAAGGACUGGCUAGUGCAAGUGAAGCGUUAGAAAACUUUGGUGUUGAGAAGCAUUUAGAGGUUGAAAAUAUUGCUGCUGCCGUAGAAGGCAUAGGUGUUGUGAACCCUACAGAGAUUGAAAAUAUUGUUCCUAUAGAAGGCGUCGAUGUCAAGUUUGUAUCAAUGAGUGAGGUGAGUAUAGUGGUAAGUACUCAAUCUAAUUUUGUUUCUAAUAAUAUUGGUUUUACUAGGAAUGCUAACAACGCAAUUGAUGCACCAAUCUAGGUUGUGCAUGAUGGAAGCAUAAAGGAGGUUUAUCCAGCUAGUGUAGAUAGAGUGAUCGAGGAUAGUCCCUGGAAGGAGCAGGAUGUUGAAGGACUGGCAAGUGCAAGUGAAGCGGUGGAAGAUUUGGGUGUCAAUAAGCCUUUAGAGGUUGAAACUAUUUCUGCUGCCGUAGGAUACAUUGGUGUUGUGAAGCCUACGGAGAUUGAAAAUGUUAUUCCUAUAGAAGGCGUUAAUGUCAAGCCUGAAUCAGUGAGUGAGGCAACUAUAGUGGUAAGUUCUCAAUCUAAUUUGCUAAUAAUAAUGUUGGUUCUACUAGAAAUGCUUAAAAUUCAAUUGAUGCACCAAUCUAGAUUGUGCAUGAUGGAAGCGUAAAGGAGAUUGAUCCAGCUAAUGUAAAUAGAGUGCUCGAGGACAGUCCUUGGAAGGAGCAUAGUGCUGAAGGUUUGGUAAUUGCAAGUGAAGUGGUGGAAGAUGUUGGUGUUGAGAAGCCUUUAGAGGUCAAAAAUAUUGCUACUGUCGAAGAAGAUAUUGGUGUGGAGAAGUCUAUAGAGAUCGAAAAUGUUGAGGUUGUAGAAGGCGUCGAUAUCAAGCCUGAGCCAGCCAGCGAGCCAAGAAUAGUGGUAAGUCUUAAAUCUUUUUUUUUGCUAGUAAUGUUGGUCCUACUAAGAAUGAUAACAAUUCAGCUGAUGCACCAUUCUAGAUUGUGCAUGAUGGAAGCGUAAAGGAGGUUGAUCCAGCUAGCAGAGACAAUGUGGUCAAGGGUAGUCCUUGGAAAGAGCAAGAUGUCGAAGGACUGGUAAGUGCAAGUGAAGCGGUGGAAGACUUUGGUGUUGAGAAGCCUUUAGAGAUUGAAAACAUUGUUGCUACCGUAGAAGACAUAGGUGUUGUGAAGCCUACAGAGAUUGAAAAUGUUGUUCCAAUAGAAGGCGUCGAUGUCGAGCCUGAAUCAGUGAGUGAUGUGAGUAUAGUGGUAAGUUCUCAAUCUAAUUUUGUUGCUAAUAAUGUUGGUUCUAAUAGGAGUGAUAAAAACUAAAUUGGUGCACCAAUCUAGGUUGUGCAUGAUGGAAGCGUAAAGGAGGUUUAUCCAGCUAGUGUAGAUAGAGUGCUCGAGGAUUGUCCUUGGAAGGAGCAGAAUGCUGAAGGUAUGGUAACUGCAAGUGAAGUGGUGGAAGACAUUGGUGUCAAGAAGCCUUUAGAGGUCGAAAAUAUUGCUGUUGUCAUUGAAGACAUUAGUGUGGAGAAGUUUAUAGAGAUUGAAAAUGUUGUGGCUAUAGAAGGUGUCGAUGUCAAGCCUGAGCUAGCGAGCGAGCCAAGUAUAGUGGUAAGUCUUAAAUCUAUUUUUUUACUAGUAAUGUUGGUCCUACUAAGAAUGAUAACAGUUCAGUUGAUGCACUUUUCCAGAUUGUGCAUGAUGGAAGCGUAAAGGAGGUUGAUCCAUCUAGUGGAGACAGUGUGCUUGAGGAUAGUCCUUGGAAGGAGCAGAAUGCCGGAGGACUAGAAAAUUCAAGUGAAGCGCUGGAAUACUUUGGUGCCGAGAAGCCUUUAGAGGUUGAAAAUAUUGCUGAUGUCGUAGAAGACAUUGGUGUUGUGAAGCCUACAGAGAUUGAAGAUGUUGUUCUUGUAGAAGGCAUCGAUGUCAAGCCUGAAUCAGUGAGUGAGGUGAGUAUAAUAGUAAGUUCUCAAUCUAAUUUUGCUUCUAAUAAUGUUGGUUCUACUAGGAAUCCUAACAAUUCAAUCGAUGCAUCAAUCUAGGUUGUGCAUGAUGGAAGCGUAAAGGAAUUUGAUCCAGUAAGUACAGAUAGUGUGCUCGAGGAUAGUCAUGGGAAGGAGCAGAAUGCCGAAGGCUUGGCAACUAUAAGUGAAGCGGUGGAGGAUGAUGGUGAUGAUAAUGGGGACAAGGGGUUUGAUUAUGCUACCUUGGCACCCACUGGUGGACCCUCAUAUGGGAAUAUCAUAUUUUCUUCCCAAGAUGGUUCUGGAAUACUCAAUAUGGACUGGGCAGGUGGUCUAGGAUCAUCAACCCCUUCUUUGAGGCCAACUGCACCUCAUCAACCUGCCGGAUCAAACCUAUUCAUCACCUCAGAGCUAGCACUUACCGAUGACCCUACUGAAGAGAUGACCGAGGAAGAGAAGAAGUUGCAUGACAAGGUUGAGUUGAUCCGGGUAAAGUUUCUGCGUCUGGUUUAUAGACUAGGAGCUACCCUUGAAGAAACGGUAGUGGCACAAGUAUUGUACCGUCUUAGCCUUGUUGAGGGCAUCAUUCAUGGAAGGCAAACAAACCAAGCUUUCAGCCUUGAUUAUACGUGGAAGAAGGCCUUGAUUCUUGAAGCGGAGGGUAAAGAGGAUAUGAACUUCUCAUGCAACAUUCUUGUUCUUGGAAAGACUGGAGUUGGAAAAAGUGCAACUAUCAACUCUAUAUUUGGUGAAGAGAAGUUGAAAACUGAUGCCUUUAGCUUAGCAACUACCAGCAUGCGAGAAAUUGUUGGUGAUGUGCAUGGUGUCAAGAUUAGAAUUAUUGAUACACCAGGUCUUCGACCCAGCGUGAUGGACCAAGGAUCAAACAGAAAGAUACUUGUUGCUGUCAAGAAAUAUAUCAAGAAGUGCCCCCCAGAUAUUGUUCUAUAUGUGGAUCGUCUAGAUUGUUUGAGCCGUGAUCUUAGUGAUUUGCCUCUUCUAAAAACCAUUACUGCUAUUCUUGGGUCGUCCAUAUGGUUCGAUGCCAUUGUUGCUCUCACACAUGCUGCUUCUACUCCUGAAGGUCUCAAUGGCGCGCCUAUGACAUACGAUGUCAUAAUGGCUCAGAGUUCCCACAUUAUCCAGCAAUCGAUCAGGCAGGCUGCAGGAGAUAUGCGUUUGAUGAACCCAGUAGCCCUUGUCGAGAACCAUCCUUCUUGCAGGAGAAACAGUGAGGGUCAAAAAGUGCUUCCAAAUGGCCAAAGCUGGAGGCAUCAGAUGCUGCUCCUAUUCUACUCCUCAAAAAUAUUAUCUGAAGCCAACUCACUCUUGAAGCUUCAUGAUCCUAAUCAAGAAAAUCAUUUUGGGUUCCAUUUUAGCUCCCUGGCUCUUCACUUCCUGUUGUCCUCCCUCUUGCAGUCAAGAGCCCACCCCAAACUUUUGGUUGAGCACGGUGGCAAUGAAGGUAAUUUUGAUAUUGAAUUGGAUGACUAUUCUGAUGUAGAACAAGCUGAUGAUGAAGAAGAAUAUGAUCAGCUUCCACCCUUUCCUGACAUGGUACUUCCUCCUUCAUUUGAUUGUGACAAUCCCACAUACCGGUACCGCUUUCUGGAGCCAACUUCAACUGUCCAGGCAAGGCCUGUUUUAGAUGCACACGGGUGGGAUCAUGAUUGUGGUUAUGAUACAAUAAGUGUGGAAGAGACACUUGCUAUCCUUAACAGGUUCCCAGCAAAAGUAGCAGUUCAGGUCACCAAAAACAAGAAGGAAUUCAGCAUCCACCUGGACUCUUCCAUCGUAGCAAAGCAUGGGGAGAAUGCAUCAUCACUUGCUGGUUUUGACAUCCAGACUGUUGGGCGACAGUUUGCGUAUAUUCUCCGUGGUGAGUCCAAAAUAAAGAAUAUCAAGAAGAACAGGACCACCGGAGGAUUCUUAGUGACUUUCCUGGGUGACACUGUGGCAACUGGACUGAAGGUUGAGGACCAGCUCUAUCUUGGGAAGAGGCUGUCACUGGUUGCUAGAACUGGUGCUAUGCGAGUUCAAGGGGACACUGCAUAUGGAGCUAACUUGGAGGCACACUUGAAGGACAAAGAAUGUCCUAUUGGCCAGUCUCUGUCAACCCUGGGUCUUUCUUUGAUGAAGUUGCGUCAGGACCUAGCUCUGGGUGCUAACUUGCAGUCCCAAUUCUCCAUCGGGAUAGGUUCAAAAAUGGCACUUCACCUCGGGCUGAACAACAAGCUGAGCGGGCAGAUCACUGUCAAGACAAGCACCUCAGAGCAGGUUCAGAUCGCGCUUUUGGGUCUCAUGCCAGUUGCAGCCUCCAUCUACAAGAGCUUCCGGCCAAGCAAACCAUAAUUUGCUUAUUAGCUCCGCGGGAAGACCGGAAACAUUUCCGUUUAAAAAAAAAGCUCCACAGGAAGAGGAUCAGUCUAAUUACUUAAUUCCAUCAUUGUGUCUUUUUCUCUUGCUUUCCAUCUGAACCAUUUCAGUCCCUGUUUGUACCCCUGUAUAUUAUUCCUAUCAUAACUUUGCCUGAAGAUGGUUGUGAGAUUUAUGUGGGACGAUAAAUUGAAUAAUGUCGUGGGAUCUAUGAUCCUUGUGGUUAUUAAUCCAUUACCAUAUUGUUAAGUCUAUCUUUAUAUUCUAUUAGUACCACUUUGCUACUUAAGUCAUUGUGGUUACUAUUGGUACUUGCUAGCUUCUAGCAUCUGGCUGCUAGCUAGUGUCUAUGAUCUUUGUGGUUAUCAAUCUAUUUUAUUGUGGUUAAGAUUCAAAUUGUUUAUGCUUAGAUUGUUGAAGGAGCACAUGUUUUCUGCAUAUGCAUCAUAUGGAAGGCCAGAGGUGUAUGUUUCUGCACAUGUAUCAAUAGUUGAAGUGCGUAAUUUUGCAUCUGAUUUUAACUGUCAUUCAAGAGAGGCAUCGUGGGCUUGUGCAAAAAACUGAGAUUCCUAUCAGCCUGAUGCUGAACUUGUAAACGGUAAGCUAGAAAAAUAGAGGCAUUGUCGCAUUUGGUGACCGGCAAUCCACUGGGGGGUUACCCAAGUGGUAGAUUUGUAGGUGGGGGAGAUCGUAAGACCAAGAACUCAAAUGGUAACACAGAUAUGGAAGGUUUAGACAGGUUCGGGCCUCCGGAGAGUAAUACCCUACGUCCUGUGUUCUGGUGGGUUGUAUUGUUGAUCGUAGAUGCGAAGAGUUAACGUGAGGUGGGAUGAGUUAUCCUCGGGGACGCCCCUGGCCACCUUAUAUAGGCUAACGAUUUAGGGUUACAAUCGGAUAGGAUCUAAUCCAAGUCGGUUGUUAUAUGGAAAACAACUAAGAGUCAGUUUACAACAAGUCUCCCGUGAUAUCCGGGCUGAAUUGAUUCGUCCAGCCUCCUAGCUUGUACUCCACGUGUCUUCGUGUCUUGGCCCGCACGGCAUGGUCGGGUGGGCCCACUUGUUAGGGCCGACUAGUAUCCUGGUCGGUGGGGACCUGUGGGUACCCUUAUCCCUCAAGCCCCCGAGCGAUGUGGAGUCGAACAGGAUGCUAACGGAUGCGCAACAAAGCUUGUAAUGUACUCGGCUGAAGGUGUGGUGUCGUCUUUGUGAGGGAGAGGCUGUGCAGUGCCCAAAAAGGAAGAAAAAUUGAGCUUCCACACGCGUAUGACCAAAUGCGCAUAGUUAAGCGACCGCCGAGCUCCGGGAUGUCUGACAUCAUGUAGAUCGAAGGGAAGCACAUGGAGGGCGUCGCAAGACGCACUCCAUAUGGAGUAGCCCCCGAGCAUUGAAGCAAUUAAACUAAUCGGCCCAAUGGUCAAUAAUUUGAUGUAUUAUUUCCAUCAUAAAAGGGAUACAAAUAUAGCGCUCAACCCCAGAGCGUGAGGACCAGCGAAGUUGCAGAGGCACGCCGACCUGAAAUAGCCGUCCAGCCCCCGAGCGCGAGGAUUAGAGGAGCCGCGGAGGCACGCUGACCUGGAGUAAGCACCCAGCCCCCAAGCGCGAGGACUGGCAGAGCCACGGAGGCACGCCGUGAGACUUAACGGAAAACCCGCGGGUUCCGUCCAUCGCUUGUGCCGUAACAGGGGACCCGUGGAUUCCGUCGCUAGGUUUACUCCGUCAAUGCUUUCAAAAGCUGAAGAGGCACGUUUUACUUUUCACUUCCACUCCACUCGCCCCCAUGCGCCACCGCCACCAAUGCCAUCUCCGCCGCGCCUAAGAGCCCUAGGUCACGCCGCCAUGUCCGCAAGCUGCAUCCACCUCUCCUCUGCCCAAAGGCUAUAGUCACUGCCACCGCGCCGCCAUUCUCCGCCGCAUGUGAACCAAUAGGCCCACCAUCAUCAGAUUUGUGUCCCGAGGAGUAGAAACCAAAGAAAUGGAGGCGGAGCAGGCACUAGAUCCAUCCAUGUACUUGGUGAAAUCCGUGAUGACGGAGGAGAGGAUCCAAGCCCUCGUCGACCGUGUCCUACUUAGUCCCAAGUCCCUCCUGGAAUGGAAGGCGACCGCGGGCAAGAAGUUCCCCACCGAGGACAAGACCGAAGCUGUCGUCUUUGCGAAGUUCUUCGAGCGGGGAUUCAAGAUCCCGACAGGGGAUUUCUUCCGUGGGUUGCUAGAGUACUACAAGAUUGAAUUAGUGCAUCUCAACCCUAACUCCAUUUUGGACAUCGCAAUUCUUAUCCACAUUUGCAAAGAUUUCCUCAUCAUUACUCCCUAUUUCAAUCUGUAGAGAUAUCUCUACCAACUAAAAAUUGUGUUAGCCAAGGGGAAGCCAAGAUUGAUCGGUGGUUGUGGAUUUUCGGUACAGCCAAAGAGGGUCCUGGAGUAUUUUGAUCUGAAACUCAAGGAUUCAAACAAGGGGUGGCAUAAGGAAUGGUUUCUUAUCACCAAUCAGAAGCCCGAGCUACCGUCCCGCCUCGGGUAUGCACCCGUGACAAUGUCGGAGUGGUCAAACCAGCCAACCUCCACGGAAAUGGUCCAGGUGAAGUAGCUAUUAAAGGAGAUUGCCAACCUAAAAGAUCAUAGGCUCACAACCGGAGCUGUGAGCAUCAACUUUCACCAGAGGCUGACACAGCCAAUCAAGGACAGGGUCCACCCAGCGUAUGAGUACUCGAGGCCGUUGGAUCCGACCCGGGAGGCACAACAGAAGGUUACCCAGGAAAAGAUUGCCAGCCGGGUGUGUAAGUUCUUUAGUGGCAUCAUCAAGAACAAGCACUGCCCUAAGGUGUACUCCCUCGUGAGGCCGGCUGACCUGGUAAGAUCUUGAUUUCAUCAUUUGGCUUGAUUGCUUCGCUUUUGCGUCUGUUUCUGCCUGAUUCUAUUUUACUCUUUAGAACUGAGAGUAUGAGUUUUUCUGUUCAACGCCGUUUCCCGGAGAGGCCGAGCAGUAGCGAACCAAGAUUCGCUUGACCACCGAGACCGACCAGCCGCCUGCCACCCUUGACUGGGAGUCAGACUCAUCCUUUGACGACUCCAACGAGGACGUAUCGGUCCAAGGCGGUGGGACGGAGGCUGGGGGCACGCCUCCUACUGCGCAGCGGACACACCAGACCAAUCUCAAGGUGGUGGAGUCCAAGGCGCUAGAGGCGGAGAAGCCGGAGGCCGAGAAGAAGAAGCAGAAGAAGAGGGGUGCCACGAAGCCAAAGGCACCCGUCGUGGCGGCGGCAUCCCCUGCGGAGAUCUCGUCAGAGGUGCCAAGAGAUGACUCUGAAUCGCCUAGCCCGACCGCCAAGAAGAAGAAGGCCGAGCUCCUUGAGACAACCACAGCUGACGCAGAGCGGCUCAAGGAGCAGCUAAAAAUGGAGAUCCGCGAGGGGAAGCAGAAGGAGCCGAUCCUGCCGCCGCCAGCACCUCUACACCCAAAGUUCCGAGUGAAGAAGAGCAUGUUGUGAGUAUGAUCAUGGCACCGUACAUUGUUGGAAGUUUGUUUGUAUGUUGCUUAACUCUAUCCCUGUGUUGCGCCAACCGAGUAAGGAGGCUGUGAUGGAGGAUGAGUCGAGCCUACACGACGCUAGCGUCAGGACCCAUGCAGAAGGUUGGACUCCUGAGGCAACCAUAGGAGCUGCAUCUACGACAUUUGUCCAGGCCAGGAGCAAGAGUGGCCUGGUGGUAGGACCUAAGGGGCCCGAACCAAGGUCUUUGCAGCGCUAGGAUGUCGCCAAGGAUGCUGCCAUAUCUGCGCCCAGGGCCGCAGAUGCCAAUGUCGAGGUGCAGAUGGAGGAGACCCCCAGGGAAGCGUCGAUUGAUGCGGAACGAACCGCCAGGAGAGCUACCUGUUGUAUUAAAAAGAGGAUGAAGGCCCAAACAGGCAAAAUAUGUACAGGUUUACAGUAGAGCUACAAUUUAUAAAAACAAAAGGCGAAAAUCCCCCCACCCCUCACCAAGGAGGGGGUUACCAAGUAACCAACACUAGGAGCGGUGUAGCAGGUUUGCUAGGUGCUUCGCCUCGGCCAUCAUCCACAUGGACGCUUCGUCUUUAAUGAGCUGCAUGACCUAUUGCAUUGUAGAUUCUUUGUGGUCAAAGAUCCUAGCAUUGCGCUCCUUCCAGAUUUCCCAGCACACUAGGAUGAUGAGGGAUUUAAGGCCGCACCGAUCCGUGCACUCCGCAGUAGCCAGCACCGACAAUUACUAAUGGACUGAGUCCCUCUGCAGCCAAUUAUCUAGAAGCAAAUCGCUUGUGGCUACCCAAUUGGCAAUGUCACCCCAAAUCCGCUUGGUGAAUCAGCAGUCGGUGCAAAGGUGGGCGGCAGUUUCAGGUGCUCUUCUGCAUGAGGGGCAGUUUUAAGAAUUAGCCCCUCCACGAGCUUACAGUCUAUCGGAUGUCCAAACCCCAUUUUGGAGCAGCAGGCAUGCAAAGAAUUUUCAUUUUGGAGGGGCUCAUGACUUUCAUAUAAUUGCUUAAAGUUUGUUUGUGCCGAUCCGAUAAAUUGCGCCCAAUAAGCCGAGGUAGUUGUGUAUUAUCCUCGUUGAGAAUGGUGGAUUCAGUAACUACCUCAGUCUUUCAUCAGAUGCCAACACUGCAAGCGCCUUCACGUUCACGACCAAAACGGUUUGGUAGUUGUGUCAGAGAAGGCUUCAGCUGAGCAUCCAACGCUGUACGACCAUAGCUUUCGACAUGCAGGUUUCAGUUCUUCAGGUCAGCAAUUCAGCGCCAGCCUUCGAUUCUUUCUUUCUUCUCGCUGAGUAUGUAUAUUCUACUAACCAGUAACCAUAAAAAAGCAUGCCUAAAAGAGCGCGCGUUCUUUCUUUCUUCUCGUAUUUUAUUUAUGGUCGCACUCGCACAAAUGAAAAUGUUUACAAAACUUUUUAUGACGCACGAUCACUCUGAUCGCCAAACAUUCUACGAAAAUAAAAAAAAUAUCACGCGCCAUAAAGUUCUCUUUUUCCGUCGAAAAAGAAAUUCAGUUUCUGACGAACCACGAACCUUGGACUGCCCUCUCGAAGCUUCGGCGUUGUUUCCAACAAAUACAACCCUGCAUCCUCCAAAAAAAUAAACGAAAACCCGCUGAAACGGAAAGCCCCAGCGGACGGCGUUUCACACCACCUCACCGCGUGAACACGCCCCCACGUCACGUCCCCACCGCCCCACCCACCGACCUCUGGGCCCCACGCGUCCCGGACCCCACCCGCAGCGACACGGACCCGCCCCUUCUAGAAGCCGCCACGUCACCAUCUCCCUCCAACGCCCCAACGCGGUCGCCGGACGCCAGCCGCUGGAUGCGAAACGCACGCCUCCAUUAAGCUGCUUAGCGAGUAAGCAAUUUAAAAUUUUAUUUAAAAAAUAUAACGGAAAUUCCUUCAAACCGAACCGUCAAUGGACUCGCCGCAAGUUUUACCUCCCUAUAAAACAACCCUGAGUCCCCACCCGACCUUUCCUCAUCACGAGUCCGAAGAAUCCCCUCGAGCACAGGAAGAAGAAAAUCCCAAACAAACCGAGCGAAAAAUCCAACCUUUCCUUCGAUUCAGCAGCUCUCGAUUCCGCGGAGAACAGCCAUGGCCUCCGAGUCCACCAACAACGACGCCCCGAUCGCCAACAACAACCAGCCCACCGCGGUAAGAGAUGGCCUGUUCUUGGAUUUCCCCCCGAUUCGCUUCGGUUUGUUGCAGUUCCUCGGGGUGCUGAUUUGAUUUCCGUGCGCGCAGGAGGAGGAGGUGAGGGUUGAGAGGGCGGCGACUACCCAGGAGGAGGAGGAGAGGCUGCGCUACCUCGAGUUCGUGCAGCAGGCGGCGGCGCAGGCGCUGGUGCUGGCGGCCGCGGCGUACGCGUACGCCAAGCAGGGCGCGGGGCCGCUCCGCCCCGGGGUCGACCACGUCGAGGGAACCGUCAAGGCCGUCGUCGGGCCCGUCUACGACCGCUUCCACGCCGUCCCGCUCGACCUCCUCAAGUUCCUCGACCGCAAGGUAAGGAGGAGGGCAUUUCUUUGUUGUCUGUUUUAAUUCAUCUUGGUCAAAUUUGAUCGCCUGACGUGAUUGGGAGCGAGAAAUUGGUUGUUGAGUUUCAUUCUGCGUGGUGUACUGGUGUGUGACCCCAAAUUUGUAGGUUUCAGGAUGAAAUUUGUACAAUUAACAUGUUAGAACGUUUUGGAUGCAUGGUUUGCAGUUUCUUCAGAGACUUAGUUUCAGGGUGCUGGGGUUUAGUUAGUUCUUUAGAGGUGUGCAUGAUUGAAUCAACCUAGCACAAGUUAAGUUAUGGUUCCUGAUAAAAGAAUACGAUGCAGAAUCUAACAACCUUGCAGCUUGAUACAAUUGGCAGGCAGUUUUGCCCUCUGAAUUAGACAACCUUUUUUAUUUAUUGAUUUAUUUGAAUUAGACAACCUAUAGAGUUGAAUCAGACAAUCCUGACUUCUGAGACUUCAAUACCACAAACACCGAGACUAUGGAAUACCUUUUAUGCAUUGUACAUGUGCAGAUUCAUGUGGUUCAUGAUCAUGAAUGAUAGCUAUGCAAUUUAGCCGUGAUGCUGACUCACUUCAUGGUUAAGGAAAAUUAACAUUUUUCAGUAAUGCUAUAAAUUUGGUCACGGUGAUCAGAUAUUAUGUUGUGGUCAGUCUAUUCACUAUUCAGGAACUAUAUUUUUUUCAGUGUGUAGGAAAAAUUUACGCCUGAAGUUGUUGCAUUUUGUUUGAGACUACUAAUGCAGUUGGCCCUUGCAGGUUGGUGAGUCUGUUGAGGAAAUCGACCGCCGCGUCCCUCCAGUGGUGAAGGAAGCCCCCACCCUCGCCCGCUCUGCUGCCAAGGAGGUCCGCCAGGCCGGUCUGGUGGGCACAGCCACUGGCCUCGCCAAGUCUGCCAUCGCUCGUGCUGAGCCCAAGGCCAGGGAGCUCUACACCCGCUACGAGCCCGUGGCAGAGCGCCGCGCCGCGGAGGCCUGGGUGGCCCUGAACCGCCUCCCGCUGGUGCCCUCGGUGACCAGGGCGGUCCUCCCCACUGCUGCGCAGCUGUCGGCCAAGUACAACUCCGCGGUGCGCGACGGUGCCAAGCGCGGUAGCACCGUGGCCACCUACCUCCCGCUGGUGCCCACCGAGCGGCUCGCCCGGGUGUUCCCGUACCCCACGGCAGACACUGCCCCGGCGCCGGAGAUGCAGCCCAUCCCGUCGCAGUAGAAGAUGAGAGUUGGACCACCUGCCUGGGAAUUGCAUCAACGAUUAUCAAUCAAAUAUAAUAGUAGCGUCAGUGGUGUAGUAAGGUACUUGAUGAAUCUUUUGUGUGUGAUGAACUGAUGACAAGGUGCAGUAUGUGUGGUGGUGACUGUUUUGUUGGUUCACUAUUGUGGUGAUGCAUCUUGUCUGAAGUCUACGGUAUGUCGUGAACCGUGAUGUGUAUACUGAUGUCUACUGUUUACUGUUGUCAAGAAGAAAUUAUUCAUGCUGUACUCACUGUGGAUUUGGAAGUUGCUAUCGCUGAUGUCGUGCCUGCAUACAUGCUUAUCUUCAUCCAGACUGGGCUCUGGUGCCUAGCGUCCUGUCAUUCAUCUGGACUAUGUGAUCCCAUUCUGUUGUGCAGGUAGGUCUUUUGAUGCAGCUUCAGCUCUGUUCAGUGUUGUUCACUUUCUCUCCCUUUUGGGACCAAGUUGCAUUAUUUUGGCCGCACAAUUCUCCAUGGUGGUGCUGGCGCAAAAUAUAGAGCAACUGCCAUGUAACUAGUGAAAACUGCAUAAUGUGCUCUGGAAGCUAUUUUGAGGCCGCUUGGUUGCUGGCCUCCACAGGCCACGCCACGCACGCCCGCGCCGCAGCCUGCGGCGGGCUUUCCAGCAAAUGCUAUUGACUGUGCUGUGGCGUGGGUACUGUAGUUGUGGCAAGCAACCAAGCACCCCCUUUGUGCAAGAACUUGGUAUGAUGUCGCUGCUGCUAGCAGUCUAUUGGGUAUGGUGAUGUUGCUACGGAUUCGCCUGCCUAUAUACUUCUGACAUCAUCAAUGUGUUUCUUGGUUUUGAUUAUAGAAGUUGGCUAUUCGCUCCAAUUUCUCCUCAAUACUGAGUUCUGCAUGAUUUGAGUGGGAGGUGGGCAGGUAAGGUCCAGUAGCAAUCUUGGGCUCUUCCUUUCAUCGCUCGGAAAGGAUUGCAAAUGAUCCUGCAUUACGUUCUGCAUCGUCACAAUCCUGACCUAUCAGGGUGCCUCUGGGUUCAGGGUUCCUCGUGCUGACUGAAACAAACAGCAGCAGUGGAGCUGCAGGUGAACAUGCUAGUGUGGCUAUUGUGAAUAUUGGCCCUGUUCUCUGAAUAUUGGUGUGUGGAAAUAUGUAACCUCAUAGUCCUGAAGAAAAGCGAGUUGCCGGAGAGCACGAGUUACUGUUCACGAAUGAAGUUGAACACCUGUGCGCUCACGCUGUAAAAACAUUUAACUUGGGGAGGCUGACCGACCGUACGGCCGCCCCAUGCCACGUUGGGUCGACGCUCGACGGUGCCGCCGUGUGGACCUCGUGCUUCGCCGCGUGGGAUAGCCAGGGCAGGCCGGAAGGCAUCAGUGUGUACCCGUGGUUUCCCUCUCACAUCAUCGUUCCUCUCUGCUCCCUUCCGCUCGGUACCUCCCUCACCAUCUCGAUCGAGCGUGGCGCCGGCGAGUGCCAUGGCCCCAUUAACACUGCUGCGCUGCCCCGGAGGGUCGCUCGCACCAGCUCCGGCGAGAUUUCCAGUGGGCCCCACCGCCUGCGGAGACGGCUGAUGAGCUGCCGCAGCUUUCGUGGCGUGGCCGGCGACGGCGAGAGAUCAGCUGCCACGGCCACGUUUGCCGAGGCAUUGGUUGUUGGGCACGGGCCUCUGGUCACUGAUCAGCCUCCGACACCAAACACCACUAGCGAGUUAUCAUCUUGGCUUAAUUUUUGGAUCCAUAGCAGAAGCACGCCAGCACAGUAGGAAAAGGCUACCCGUCCUCAACCACAUCUGCGAUUUAGCCAUUCUUUGUUUGCCAUAAGAUUCGCUAACACAAUUUAGGUUUGUCACAGAUUGCCUAUUGUAUUUGCAUGUGCAUAUCUCAUUUCAUUUUACUUUGAUUCCUACAUGCAGCAAGCUGUUGUCCAUUGCACGGUUCCUCUCCAAAAUUCAAGGUUGCUUACAUCUCCAUAUACAUCUUUAUUUCCAUUAUGUGAAUUCAUGUUUACUUACCCUACCUGGUUGUGUCACUGAAUUGUAUUUGCCCAUAAUUUGAGUAGUUGUAUUAGGGAGGAUAGCCUGUUUAGGAAUAGGAAAGGUAUCCUGACUAAUCUAUAGUUCUUGAACAUCUCUUGCAUUUUCCUGUAUAUGUUAAGUUGCAUACCUAUAUCUUACAUUUUAUCAAUUUUCAUUGCUGAUUCUACCUUGUUACUACAUCUUGCUGCAAUAAGGAGUAAAAUGCGAUAGGCAUACUUGAAUGAAAUGCAUGCAGAUUUUCAGACCAGUUUUGGGCGACGUUUCCUUUGGACUCAACUGGCCUAUAACCUGAUAAACAUUCCAGUACAUCAUAUCCUGCUUUAGUCGCAUGAGAAGUCUGCCAAUAUAUACUUUUUUUUCGCUAAAUUAUAGUUUAUAGGAAUAUCCUGCUUAAAGAUGAAUGACCACCUUACGUUUUCUCUCACGUAUCUUGUUUGGUUUUGGAACCAAAUGGAACCCGUUCUAAUUUUUUUUGAUCCAACACAUCUCGUGUUUAAUUGAAAGGGAUGGGUCCAAUCCAUCUCGUGUUUGGUUGAAAAGGAUGGGAGGGGUUGAUUGGAUGUCAUUUUAACACCGUUUGUAAAUGUCUAUAAUUUUUUUUAUCCAUCCUUCUUCUCCAGUUCUCCCCAUCGGCCUCCCCCGCUCCUCCCUCUCUCUCCCCACGCUGCCGCUAGUCCCUCCAGCGUCGGCCGCUCCCUCCCUCCCCGCGCCAGCCGCCGCCCCCUCCCUCCCCGCGUCGGUGGCCGGCCACCGUUGCUGCCUCUCCCGUGCCUGGCAUCACCCCCUCCCUCCUUUCCCGCGUUGACCGCCGCUCCUUCCUCUCCUCGCACCGCCGGCCGCCGCUCCUCCCUCUCCCCGCGCAGGCGGCUGCCCCCUCCCUCCCUCCCCGCUUUGGCCGUCGCCCCCUCCCUCCCCCGUGCCAACUCGCCUGCACGCACGAACGGAGAGGGACGGCGUUGAUGUGGGUCAAGUGCGUCCGCUCGUUUUGGACAGAUGCAUUCGACCCGCAUCUGAGGGGAAUAUUUCCCUUAGGUAUGGGCCCAACCCAGAUGCAUUUUCAACUAAACGCGGGUUGAACCCAAUUCAACUCCCAAAGCAAGCACACCCUAAAUGUUUAAAAACAGGGGGUCAUAUACUCAUAUCUUCAUUGCUUACAGGUGUCAUAUACUCAUAUCUUCAUUGCUUUUUCACGUGUUAUACGGUGAGGGUGAGUGCUUCCAUAAUUCAACUCAAAUGCUAUCACUGAGAUAAGAGAUCAUGCCAAUACCACUGUUGUCAAUUCAAUAAUUUAUUAUUUUUAUACACUUGAUAACAUAAUCACUGUGAUUUUAAGAAACAAAGUACCAGUGUCCUGUUGGCAAUGAAUCUAUUUCAAGAAUCUUUUCUCCUGCACUUCUGCCUUAGGCCUUUGAAUAUGACUGGGGAUAGAUGGAAGAUGGAUUAAGAGCUGCAUUUUAUAGUUUAGUGUGUUUUUCCUCCCCUCCAUCACUGAAAUGUCAAAAGGUUUUCUAUAGUUGAAGAGAGCUGAGUUCGUGUCACGACUUACCACUACGUUAGUAUAUGUGUGAAGCAACCUAUCAUACUGUCAGAAACUGAGAACACACAUCACGGAAGCAAAUUUAAUGUCGGUGUUUCAUACUGCCGAUUAAUGUUGGUGUUUCGUACCGCCGAUUAGAGAUUAUACACCGCGCUCUCCUCACUUCCGAUAGCUAGCACACAAGAGAUAAGGAGUUAUACUAGUUCAGGAAGAUCCCUACGUCCAGUUUUGGCAGGAGUCGUGUUCCUUGAUCGAGUGCACUGAGCUUAUAACUGGGUGCUUGUAAGUAAGCGAUGUGUGGGUGCGUGUAUGUGAAUAAAUGCGAGCCCAAGAAGAAGGAGGUCCGGUUCCCUUUAUAUAAACCAGGGACCGGGCGACAAUGUUGAGAAAUGGAGGGGAUCCCCAACCUCAGAGGUCGGGGGUUGUGGCUUGGUCGGGUCUUCUUUACACCAAGAGGCUUCCUCCCUAUCCCCUUAGCUGGUCGUGGGCUUCACACGUCUUGUACGGUGGCUCCUGUGCGGCAUGGGCCGUUUAUGCAUGGCAUGUCCUGCUCCGCGGUGUGCCCCCGUCCAGUCCCCUAGCCCCGUGGCAGUGGAUAGGACGGGAGCCGUUGCUGAUGUCCGUACCGAUGAUAAGUAGGCGGGCCUUGGACAGGGCAUACCACUCGUCCUGGCUUUCCCCGAGUUCUUUAGUGCGCUCACGGUUGCUCUCACCAUAACGUCUGUCGCUAGCUCCACCUCGCUGCGGGACCGUACCGGGCCUGGUGCGGUGGCAUGGCCUUGACCUUGACGGGUCACCCUGGCGGCGAAGGCGAUGAUGGCGUCAGGGCGUGUGGGCACAUACGACCGCGCUUGGCCUCGCUCUGCAGGUCAUCCUGAGCGAUCCGAGAGGUGUAGCCUCACCCUCGGACCCCCGGUUCUAGGUCGGCUCCCCUCACCAGGUCAUGUCUUCGGCAUGAGGCGGUCAGGGGGGCCACGCCCUGCAUUUAACGCUCCUAGUACGGCGUCGGUCACCCCGCAGCGUUGUGAGCCCCUUGCUGGCCCCGCCCCCGAUCUGGCUAGAUCGGAGGACCGUGGCCCUCGGCUCCCGACCAGGAGGUAGGCCGCGGUGUCUUUUGGGCCGCUUCCGGUAGGCCGCGGCGUCUUUUGGGCCGCUUCCGGCACGUCUCUUGUUGUUGGACCUUUGAUCUUUUUGCGUCUAGUUGCCUGGUUGCCUUGUAUCCCUUACCCGGGUAUCCCUUACCCGGAGUACCCUGUUAAGGGUUGUUUAUCAAAAAAAAAAAAACCUGUCAUUUAAGUUGUGUAUCGCUGAACUAGCAGGUUUAUGUCCAAUGUUGUUAGGGUCUGACUACCUAUGGCAAAGCAUAUUCGGUAGUAGUAGGUUGAUCCCUGCUUAUUUGAUUAUGUUAUGUAUGUGCGAACUUCAUCUGUAUCGAACGAAGGUAAUUGAUGGUCCCAAGUUCCAAUUGCAUAAAUUUUGGUGACUCCUUUUAAAUUACGUAAUAACUCUUUCAGAAUGUAUGAAGGUUUGUAGUCAGUUCAAUUUGUUGUUACUACAAAGUGUUCUAAUUUGUGCUCAGGAUAUCUCAUAAAAAAUCUCACGUUCCUUGCAGAUUCUCUCUACCUUGCGUUGGCUGCUGACCACAAGUCGUAUGCUUCCUGCUUUGUGCAUAUCCUCUUUCGCUUCUAAUGAAAUUGUUGAUGUACAGGAAAUGCAUUUAUAGUAAGUUUUUCUGGUUAGGCCAUAUGUUAAGAUUUAAGGUUUGAUAAGGCUGCGCACCAGCUAUACGUACGAGAGAAAGAACUACCGGCCCUCAAAAAGAGAGAGAAAGAACUACCGGUGCUGUUCAAUACGUACAAAUUGAAUUUGUCUGUCGCUGCCUACUGUAUUCUCUUACUAGUGUAGACUGAUGCUUGUAAAUUCGCAAUGCCGCUGCAGCACCUGCCAUCGAUGCCGCAGUUUUCUUUCGUUGGUCGACCGGCUUGUCAGCGACAUCCACCAAUCCCUUUCGUAUGUGCAACAUACAUCGUAAUCAAUCGAAAUGCAAAGCCUAAACCAAGGAAGAUACGUAACAUACGACAUACGAGUACAUACGUUGUUGUGCAUACAGUAUACACUCACAUCGCAAGUCAUGCAGUAUAAUACAAACGUGUCCACACAACAAAAUACUGUGCGCUCAGAGAGAGAGAGCGAGGGAGGGAGGGAGAGAGAGGCCCUGCACGCGAUCGAACAUGAACACAACACGCACGAGAAAGAGAAAGAGAUCGAGUUGGAGGGCGGAACGCCAGCCGCGCUCAGAGCAUCUUGUAGUUGACGACGGCGAGGAGCACGGCCCAUGCAACGGCGGGCUUGGCGAGGUCCCCGGCGACGGGGUUCACGGCGCCGAACCCUCGCGCGCACGCCGCGGCGCCGGCGGCCAUGGCCGCGCAGCACGCGAGGCCCGCGAGCACCGCGCCGUGGCCCAGCACGAGCGGCGCCCACGCGAGGGCGCACGCCAGCCGCGCCGCGUAGGGGAGCAGCGUGGCGGCCGGGCGCGCGUGCAGCCCGCCCUCCGCCCACGUCAUCCACGCCGCCACCGCCAACACCGCCUCCGACGCCACUGACCCGGCCCGCACGAUCGCCACUGUCGACGCCGGCGCCGCCCUGUGCGCCGCCGAGCCGGUGGAGAGGAAGAAGGACAGCGCGGCGAGCCCGGCCGAGAGGGACACCGCGGCGGCGAGCGACCGGAGGCCGCGCCGGGCGCCCGGCUUCCUCGAGCUCGGGUCCCGGCUGGUGGGUGCGCCGCCGGCGACCGCGGCGUUCCUGGCGUCGUCGUCCCUGGCGGCGACGCGGUGGGUCAGGCCUUCUUGCGCGGCGGCCGCCAUGGCUGAUGCGAUCUGGAGAGGCUGCUAGGUUUCCGGCCGAUUUGCUUGGUCGGCGAGCGCGAUGAUCGUGAGAUGGGAGGAAGAAGAGGUCGAUCUAAAUACGUGCGAGGUCUGCUCGCGUGUGGACACGUGUGGCGGGGAGGUGGCACGUGUCAGAGGAGGCUCUAAACUAUGGGGCUCCAUGGCAGGUGACUGGGCGGAGUGAGUGAGACGGAGCUUCUGGAGCUCGAGGUGACUAGGACCACGACGCCCGACUUGUGCCGGAGCGGAAACUAUCGGAAGAGGAAGCUGCUAGUUUGUAUCGAAAGAAAAUUUAGACGAGAAGAAAAAAAUUGAUCAAAUAAUUAUUUCUUUUCUUUCAAACCAGCGUCAUAAUAGAUGUUUCCGUUCAUGUUUUAAGCUUGCCACUCACAAUUUAACAAAAAUUGAACAUCUCAAUCAUGUAUGUUGAUGUUGAAAUCAUUUUAUAGACAUACAGGACAUACUAUAAUUUGCUUCUCUUUCUUUUCAAAUGAUCUUUACCAUCCAGGUUUGGUUCCGUAGCGUGGUAACAAGAUCAAUUAUACCACCGAUCUCCGGUAAUUCCCAUAUUGUCUGUUAACCGCCACUUAUUAAAAAUCAUCUUGAUUUACACUUAAACUAUUGAGAAAACAUUACAAAAAUAUUUUUGGUUGCUAGUUGACACGUUCAACAAACAUUUCAAAUUUUUCAUGAUGAUUUAAUCGGAUCAGGAACAAUUGAUACUGUUUUAUUCACAAGAUAUGAAAAUGUAUGAAAAAAUUACAAAGAAUUGCCAAAAUAGCCUUCUAACAUGAAAAUAUUGACAAAUACAUAUCACCCUUCAGAGCCGGGACGGGUCAGGUCGAACUAAUUUUUAGAGGUAGUCCGAUGGAGCCGUCCCCAGAAAAUGUUGAACUAGCUUUACCAAAACGUUAUAUUACAUUUUGUAAAUAUUGAACACACUGUAAGCCGUCUGUAAGCAUUCAAAUGGAAUGAUGAAAAGGAGUGACUUAGCAAGUGAGCGAGGCAUAUAAUGGCGUACAUCAGGUGAUAAGACAAUAAAGAUAGCUUCAAAUGCACAUCCGGUCAAUUUAAAUUUUGAACACAACUGAAUAGCCGUUCACAGAAUCACAACCCAAGAGAUGAUAUUAACAACAAACUAGUCCCAUGAGUAUAAGGCCGAACAUCAUGGUAAUCUCAUCAAAAUCGAACGAGCUGGGCAGAAAUCACCUUUCAAUUGUUUGCAUACAGAUUACACUUUUAAUGGAACACUGGGCUAGUAAAUGAGGUAUUACAAUGGAAACAUGGUGAAAACUGUGCGGGGGCAUGUUUGGUAUUCUUGUACUUUUCUUUCCCAUAGUAAAAAACCAAUGCAAGUGUGAACCUCCUCACCAAAUUGCAGCUCGGGUCGUCUACUUGGUGGCACCCAGCGCAUGCUUACUGAACAAAACCAGCAGGUAGCGGGUAUCAGCUUCAGCCAUUCCUUUGUUUACUGUUGGCAGCACUACAAUAGGGCUUCAAUGUCCAUCUCAACGAAAGUGCAGGGAUCCGGAAUGCCGAAUUUCCUUAGCACCUGCAAUGAACACAGAAUGCGACUAAGAACUCAAAGAAUACAUAGUAUGUCAUUAAAUUUGGCAAAUACACUGAUUAAAAGUGGGUUCAUGAUGCCGUUUUCUUAUUCUCGGAGAGAAUAUCAUUCACAUUAAAAAGUUCUUUUUUCUGCAAGUACUAUUUAUAUUAACAUAGAUUGCCUAUGGAAUCAGAGAAACUAAUAUAAUUUAAACAUAUAAGAUGGCGCUAACUUCAUUCAUUUCAUCCUCAGAAAGCCAUUCAUAUGAAAGUUAAACUACAGGGACACAGACAGCCCAGGCUAAUCACUGCAUAUUGUUCAAGAUCGAGGCAGAAGUACCUCAGCAUGGACAACUCCCAAGUAGCCAACCUGCUUGCCAUCACUUGUAACAAUUUUGCAUUGUCUUUUCGGGAAGAACUCAGGUUCCUACAGAAAUUAGAUCAGUACAACUCUCGACUGCAAAAAUACAAGGCAGUUUUACAUAAGUUAUAUGCUUACAUUUGUAGGAACAUAGUACUUCUCGCCAAAGUUGACAUGCGGAGCUCUGACAACUUUGACAAUACUAUCCACCAAUCCCAUAAUUUCCUGAAUUUUUUUAAGUUAGACUAGGCCUGCACCGAAGCUAUGUAAAAUCCAUGCUUAUACAUACUUUAUUUCUUAUGUGCAUACCUCAAAUCCAGAAACCCUAUUGCAGUACAAAGCUGCAAGCCGGCGAUUAUUAGAGGCACCAACAUCGCGUGAGGGGUCCAGCGUCACUACAUCACCAACUUCAAAAAUCUAUAAUAGUAACCAUUUGAAAUAUCAAAACCAUAGCAGCAGUAAUCAUUUGGUAAUACACAAUGCUAGAAGCUAUCUGAAAGCUCUCCAUUUCCAAUCAAUCAUGUAUUAAAACUAAACUCUACCUGGGUUAGACAAUUACUCUCUCUGAUCCCAGACAUUGGGCAUGGUCUCCAAAAUGGCACUUUCACUGGUAAUAUUCUAAACAAUAUGUCUUUAAACAGAAAGAGUUUUAUAUUUGUAACGUAUUUUCAAGAUGAAUCCAGUACAUAAUUCUUUUGUUGCCAAUCCAUGUGAUUUUUUAAAUAUUAUGGCCAAUAUUCAAAAGGAAAAAAAAAAUCCUAUAUGGACUUGUACUGGGGAUCAAAGGUAGUAUCUGAAAGAGGAUAUUAUGAUGCAUUCACAAUUCAGGGUGCAAUCAUCAAAUCAAUUUUAGUUUAGCAACUCUGGAUGCACAUGUAAAAGUUACAAGCUAAAAUGUGUUAAUUUGUCAAGAUGAUAAAGAGGAUAGUUCUGACAAAUGACAAUGUUAAGUUGGAAGAGAAAGGGAAAGGACGGGCAAAUGACACUACUGAAAGCAACAGAAAGUCCUCUUUACUGAAAUUUUGAUGUGCGACAGAGCAUUCCAUAAUUGAUGUCCUUAUUAGUUCUCUUUGAAAUUUCUGUUGUUGAAUUGGGACCCAAACAAACUGUGAACUGUAUGCUAGCUCCUUGUAAGUUGAUUGCACUAUAUAUGAGUAUGUAACAAUAAGUCACAUGAAAACACCACAAUAACACUAUAUUAUUGACACUAAGCAGAUAUAAAUUUGCUUCUUCUAAAAAGUACCUUUAUGGGUCUUGGAUGGUCUAUAUUAUGUUUCAGUGUUUUCAGUAAACACGACAUCAGACUAGUUCUAACAACCUGCAAUGUAACAGGUAAAACAAUGAUUAUGGCAAACAUAAUAUAGAAAAGAAACAAAUGACAUUGCAGAACAAUGUAAAUCUCAUUUGCAAAAUCAAAUAUGGACAGCAUGAAAGUGUUGCCUGUGCAAAACUUGCAGCAUGAAAUGAAAAGAUAUGGCUGCCAAGUCAGGUAAACAGUCAAAAGUUAUAGGAUUACAAGAAUAUACAAUAAAUUACAUCUAAGUAACAGAAUGAUAGAACACCAGCAAGAUGCGUCAUUAAAUAGCUGCAGCAAAGAUAGUUAUCCUAGCAAUUAGUUCAUGAAUUAACUUGUUUUUUAUGCUUUAAAAAAGGCAGUAGUCAACCAAACAUUUACAAAGUUCUUGGACUUUAGGAAAUUGAGAACACAUAGGAGAGCUCACUGAUUGCUGCAUUCAGCAGGGGGGAAAUUCAAGUCACAAAGGGUACAAUUGUCACCAAUUUACCUCAAAUUCAGAAGUGCGAGGGUUUGCGAUAAUGACUGCUUUACUUUUGUCGUCUGUUCUGUUCAACAUGUCAAAGUUUUCUUCGUGUGAAGACAAGAUGAAUGUGAGCACCUCCAUAUAACCAGCUCUUGCAACCUGCCAAAUGUUUUCUCAGUAAAGAUCAAUUGAUGAACAGAUAAUGGAACAGGAGCAAAAUACCACAAAGAGAUACACCUCAGCACGAAUUUUAUCUGAGAAUCUGUUUAAUGGCUGCCUUCCUCCUAUAGUCAUACACUUCGGCUUUGAUUUUGGCACAUUGUUGUAUCCAUAAGCUAUAGCAACAUCCUUUGUAGAAUCAAAACAGAAAAAUAAAACAAAAUGUUAUUCAACAACAGUGAAUAUUUAGUUAACAUUUAAUAGAAUAGCUAGAGAACUGCAGAUUAUAACCUCCACCAAAUCACGAGCGUGCAGAAUAUCACUUCUUGUUGGAGGAACAGAUACUGAAAUCCAAGGCUCACCCUUCAAUGAGUGACUUUCAGCUUGCAGUUGCAUUUUGUUCAAAAGACAAACAACCUACAAUUUCAUAUACACAGUUGAAUCAUUUGCUCCAUUUCCAUGCUCAAACAAACUUUAAAUCAAGCGCACAGGAGAAGAAAGUAUCACAUGACAAAUAAACGUCAGUUCACCCUAGUUCUAGAUACAGAUAAUGCACUUUGCAUAAAUAAUUUAAGUAUAUGAGAGAUAUUAAUAUAUAUAUAUGAUGAUGAUGAUGUUGUAUAUGAGAUAUUAAGAAAAAUCAUUAUUCAGUUAUUAAUCCAAAUAUGAAUAUAUCCUUCCGAAAUCUUUCAGGAACUUAGUGUACCUGUUUCGCAUCCAGGGAGAUGCCAAUAGGCCCAAGAAUGUGAGAUAGUGGAGCCUCCAUUUUGUAACAUGAAAGGUCAGGGUACACAGUUUUGCUGCCAUCAUGAUGUACCACUUCAACUGGUUCCACUUCAAACUUAUUCUCACAAUACUCAGAGAACAUGGUAACCUAGAAAUAUAAGCAACAAGUGUACCGAUACAAUAAUAAGCUCAAACUUCAUUUGAAUGGGAGGACAUGUUUCUCAUCUAUAGCACAUCACUCACCAUUGUAUUCAAAACAAUCUUUGCUUUGGUAAGGUCAGUAGCUGUACAUUCAAUAAAGACAUUUCUUGUCGCAAGGGUGAUAGCUGAAUGUGCACCAUUGAUGAUAGGAGGUAACGAUAAUACAGUCCUGCAAAGUAUUGCAACGUCAUCUGUGCAGCAACACCAGUAUAACCAGUUUCUAUAUCGUAAACAUUAAAUAAAGCAUGGCACUGCUGGCUAAGCAUGGGCCACUUCCUUGGCAAAAUGAAUAUGCUUAAGAGAACAGUUUUUCCUGGAAAACAGACCAUGUUUUUGUAGAUAAAUUUCCAGAAGUGUUAUAUAGUCAAUGUGCCAACAGAUUUUCUUUCAAGUUAAUUGUUUUUUUCCUCUCUAGUAACUAUUAAUCUUUCAUGAUAAGAUCAUAGGCCUUGUGAGAAAGAGUUCGAGAAAUGAAAUGAUAAGAGCAUGUCAUUGUUUUACCUGUUGCUAUCAUAGAUAACAGGGUACACCGGAGAAUUCUCAAUUAUAUGCAAAAACUUCUUCAGUUUCAUGUCCGACUGCCAGAAAUCACGAGACGUCAGUAACAAAUAUAUAGCGGCACAUCGCACCAAACAGGAUAUCAUGAUUCAGUCGAAAUUUAACGGUUGUCAUCCUGAUACAUGGCACUUUUUAGUGAACAAUGGCACAACAAACAUUCUGAUAUAGCGACUUACUUUAUAGAAUUCCAUCAGUUUAUCAGCUCUGAAGCUUUCCUCCUGAAUCAUACAAAAAUUAGAACAUUGAGUUCAAAAAUGGUGCCUUGCCAGCACCUCGCUAAAAACUUUAGUGAUGAGCUGAAAACAAAGUAUAUAUAACAUAAAACACCAUCUGACUGAAUUUGAUAAAUUAUUUUUACCUGCUUUAAUGGGACAAAGUUGAUUUCAUGUGGUGGUAGAGCCUGGGGACAAAAAAAAUCAAAUGAUAGUGUGAAGGAGUGAAGCCAACAGUCAAUGACAGAAACAAUCAAUUGAACACAUACAGAUAGGAACAGUGUGCAUGUCAAUGACAGAGACUUGCCUAAAAGGCACAUAAGAUUAUACCAAAGGUUGAAAGCAACGUGAUAAUUUUACCUCAUAUGAGAAAGGAGCUUGCAGGGUAUCGAGAUCAUGGGUACCAAUAGCAACCAGAGUUCUCUUCCUGAUUUCCAUCAUGGCAUGGCCGAGUUAACUGCUUAUUAAUCUUCAUCUCAAUACAAUGGAAAGCCAAAGGCAAAAAGAUAAGCUAUACCUGCAAAUAUUUUGGUGGAGUUUGUCUUGAAGAUCAAUGAAACUGUUGUAUCUUGCUUCAUCAAAAGUUACCCCUCUUAGGACAGCACAAACUAUGUGUGGUCUAAUUUGUGAAGUCUGGAAAAAAAACCAGCAAAUCAAGGAUUUACAUUAACAGACGGAAGAAAUAAGAACAUAAUCUGUUACAAUUUCGAGAAUAUAAUCAAUGUUACCAAAUACAACAUAAUAAUCUUAAUGUGUGGGCAUCUGCUUCUAGCUUCUAGAAUAAUUAGUAAUAAUAGGUGGAUAUCAAAAUCAUGAAUAUGUUGAUGUCAAGGCAUUUAAUGCAAGCUUUCAAGUUAAGAUAUAUAUAGAAUUUUUAGCAGGAUAUUACUUUUCUUCCUUAAAAAAUGCCAGCUUCCAUGUAAUCUCCAUUACUAUUACAUGGCAUUCCAUAUCCAAAAAAGAAGUAAAUGGCUCAAGAGCAUUGCAGGUUACGACAGCGCUACUCUGCUGUUCAUUUUGCUCUAAAACCCAUAUACACUAUUUAAAAAUAGAAAAGUGAAGAAUUCUAAUAUUAAUUAUCUUCCAUGUUUUUUCUAGGAUAAUAUUUGGAAUGUGCUAUCCAAAGACCAUGUAGGGGCUUGGCCUGCCCAGCUAUUACCUGUGGUUUAACAUGCAUCUGAAGCAUUGAACCACGAGGGAUGGAAGAAACUCGGAAUACAGGGAUUGCUUCACUCCCAGUGAAAACACGAAGCGCUCUAGAUAAUCCUUCAAGACAUAGCAAAUCGUAUCUGCAUAUUGGAAAUCAUAUUAAUCACAUGAAGCACAAAACGUCAAUGUGUGCUUUGAAACUAAAAACUAUCCACAGCUGAAGCUAAUGGUCCAUGAAGUAUAACUGAAGAAUGAAGCGAGGAUCAACGAGCCAGACAAGACACAUUCUACCGAUAACUAUGCAAUAGAUGAAAUUUCCAUCCAUGCAACAUAUUGGACUGGCAAGCUGAAUGAAAUAUGCUCUAACGAAGUUCAAUUAUUUUAAGUCUGAAAUCAACUCAACAUUAUGCUAUGUGCACAUCCUCAUAGAACGUUCUUGGAUUAGAUGUAUCAGUAAAAGAAAUAAUGAAUCAGCAGAAAUAAAGCAAAAACCAAACAUGGUUCAUAUUUAGCUCAAUACAACAAUGAGUUUACUUAGUACUCCAUACAUACUAAACUCUCCAUGAACCAAACAACUGAACUAAAGAACAGAUCUCAGUGCAACACAAAUUAGCUACCAGCCAGCUUACAAUCAACUAUGGAGUAGAUGCCUGCUUACAAUCAAAUACAGCAAAAACAGCUUUCAGGCAUGUUCUCUUUGCCUUCGUUUUGCGUAAUUAGGCACAUUGUGUAGUACAUAUUAGACGGUUACAUUCAAAUACACCAUGCACCGCAGGCGUGACAAUUCAAGGCAUGAUGAGGGCACAGGGAGGGCAGGACCCAAAAUAGAAUAGAACUAUAACCAUGUAUACCCUGCUACAACCACGGCAACCAACCCAUUCGACAGGCAAAAUCUGUCACAGGGGGGUGGUGUCACCUGACCUACAAUUUAGCAUCUUUGCUAGAGAUUUUUAGUUGAUCCUUUAUGUGUCUCAAAAACCGAAUUACCCAUAUUUAAUUGGUGCACGAUAAUGUAGUUGCUCAGUAUUUUCAUGUUCCAAGUUUUCACCGGUUUUCGUUUGCUGGAUACCCCGCAGCAUCGAUUCCGUUGACCAGAACAAAUUCCACUGACCUGUUGGCGGGGACCUCUAUCUUGUAGAUGACCUCGUCGUCGCCCUCCACAUCGCCGUCAUCAUCGAGGUGCUUCUCCUUCCUGAUAAUAGCCUUCUCCGUCGUCUGCGCACACGCACAAACCCAAAACCCCACAAAUUCAGACACCAACACCGCGGAUGGGAGAGGGAGCCCGCGGAGAGAGAUGCUCACCACAUCGUCAAGCUCGAUGCCGAACGCGAAGCAGAGCAAGUCGAACUCCUCCUGCGCUGCAGCAUCGGAAAAGCCACGGAAUUGUUUACGAGUUCCCGCGGUGGGGACGGUUGGGGUUUUGGGUGGAGACAAGAAUGAAGGAAGAUAAGCUUACUGUAGGCUCGGCCGAGGGCGACGAAGAACCGGUCGCGGCCGACGCCCACCGUCGGCAUCGCGGCUGCUGAAGCAGAUACGGCAGCGCUCCAGGAGGCGGCGGCAGGAGGAAAACCUAGUAGUGAGUCGGGGGCGACGAGGACGACGGCGGAGGCAGUUUGUCGGGAGAACCGCGGGCCCGAGCAGCUACUGGCCCAAACUUGGAAUGCUCUGGCCGGGAAUAGAGCCCAGAACGGCAGCAAGUAGUUGAAAGCAACACGCUGGGCCGGAGAGGGGGGCUGCGGACCAGCCCAGAUGUGCAAUGGAUUUAGGCCCAGUUGCCAAUCUGCUGCUCUUGCGAUCCAUGUCUGUUCUUAGAAGAGUAGUUUUUUAUAAGAUUUUCUUAAAGCAACGUUCUUUAUAUAAGAUGAAUGAAGGGGAAAUAGAUAAUUUUUUCCCAGCUUUCAUGGUCUAUCACGCAGUCCUAUGAUCCACUCUCCACCGUAUUUCAGACAGUCAUGCCAUUUGCGGCUACUCGCUCCAUCCCAAAAACAAGUUAUUUUAGAUUUAUCUUAAGCCAAACUUUCUCAACUUUGACCAAAUUUAUAGAGAAAAAUAUCAAUGUUUAUGGCAUAAAAUAUGUAUAUUAUAAAAUAUAUCUCAUGAUACAUCUAAUGGCAUUUAUUUCAUACUAUAAAUAUAUGUAGUUAUUUCUAUAAUCUUAGUCAAACUUAGAAAAGCUUAACUAGGACAAUCCUAAAACAACCCUUUUUUUUUACAAAAUGAGUACCUGUUACCUCUAAGUGAGAAAGGGGGAAGAAGCCAUCCAGGUUCCAAAUAGCCAUUAGCUUUUGGACCCUUGGUUUUCCAAAAUCUAAUACCUACAACUACAAGGUGGUUUUCAAAAUCCCUAGCUAAAACCAAUAUGGCCUAGGUAUGGACAACAAAACCUUGGCCACCAAAUGCUUUAGAAUUCACACGCCCAUACAGAUCGUCGAUUCCAUCACUUUGCCUCUUAUUACUAGGAGGUGUUUGGUUCCACGGAAUUUAAUUCCUGUCACAUCGAAUGGUUAGAUACUAAUUAGAAGGAUUAAACAUGAGCUAAUUAUAAAACCAAUUGCACAAAUAGAGGCUAAUUUGCGAGACGAAUCUAUUAAGUCUAAUUAAUUCAUAAUUUGACAAUGUGAUGCUACAGUAAAGAUGUGCUAAUCAUGAACUAAUUAGGCUUAAUAGAUUCGUCUCGCGAAUUAGCCUCUAUUUGUGCAAUUGGUUUUGUAAUUAGUCUAUGUUUAAUACUCCUAAUUAAUAUCUAAACAUUCGAUGUGAUAGGGACUAAAAUUUAGUCCGUGGAACCCCUUCAUAUUAAUCCUCAACUCUAGCUCAUUGCCGGGAAGUGAUUGCUAGGAUCAGCGGUUGUUGGGUGGUUCCUUCCCCAGAAGGAUCUAAGGAAAGCUGCAGGAUGAAGAUGAGGGUGCAUCAAAAGAGUAGUCACUGAAUAGAAGGGGGAAAUAGCUUGUAAUCAUGGUCGCAAGGUUGAAGAAAUCGAUUUUCGCAAAAAAAAAAAAGUUGAAGACAUCGAUGACAAACUAGAGACGGGUCUACGAUCCAUCGCUGUGGUGUUUCCACUCGAUCAACUAGGUGUUGCAACCAAGCAUCCUUUGACAUGUGCAGGCGUGCAGCAGUAUUUGAGCUGCCCUCCAAGCCAAUCUUUUGAGUUGUUUUCUGGAUCAUUUUUCUUGUGAGAACAUUAGAAAAAAAAUCAGGAAAAAGUAGAAGAACAAAAAAAGAUGGGGGAGACAAUGUGUAACCACUUGCAUUGGAAGUGAACAUGGAACAAACAGAAGCUUAGCCGCAUUGACACCCCAGGAAAAACCAAUGAAGCUAAAACCUCAUCCGAUGCAAGCCCUUGGGAUCUGUUCGCUUCAGCUUAUAAGUCGGCUGAAAAGCUGAAACGGCUGAUUUGUUGUGAGAGGAAAACACUGUUUGGUGGCUUAGGUCUGUUCGCUUCAACUUAUAAGCCAGCUGAAAAGUUGAAACAACUGAUUUGUUGGGAGAGGAAAAUACUGUUUGGUGGCUGAUAAGCCGGCUGAAUACAGCAUGCCUGUCGAUAUGAGAGGCCAGACAUACAACGUAGGGCUCUGCUAUACUACCAUCCACGUGCAUGUAUAACGCCUAGCUGAGCUUUGUCUCACUUCGAUUGCCUGAAACUCAGUACUUCAUCCUCCAUUUGAGACCAUCAGAAAGAAACAUAAACAGAUCAGAAGGCAUCUUUUAACUAAUUCCUCCCUUCAAAUCACGUACGGUAAUUAUCUUUCCAUUUUGGGCAGUGAACUAGCUCAACACCUAGGCAACUUAUCAACCUGAAGCAUGAAGGCAACAUUAUCAUGUUUCGUCGAUCGUAUCCAAGUCCAUUAAUCAGCGUAGUCCCUCAAUCCAUUACAAGCACAGCAGCUCAGGUCAAGAACAGAGACAAUUGCUGAUUAAUCAUUAUAAGCACACGUACCACCGGACGCAUAUUAUAGUAGAUUCGCAAAUUUCAUAGCUCAAUCCAUCCCAUAUAUCAACCGUGGUGCAUAUAUCAAUCCUAGAAAUUCUAUUCAAAAAAGGCACCCCAUACAGAGUAUGUAUAUGGGUACUAUGAUAGACCUUUUUGUUGGAUGUGGCUUCAAAUUUAUCCAUAAACUUCUAAUACUUGCAUCUCUUUAAAAACAUUCAUAAUCUUUUAAAAUGUUAUCAUGUGCGGAAGCAAAAGGGUCGUUACUAGUGAAGUGGUAGCUAAUGAAAACUACAUGCAACUUGCUAAAAAAACUGCAUGUACAAAAAUGUAUUGGAACUUAGUUUUGUGAUCAUACAUACAUACAAUUUUUAGGUUUAUAAAAUAUUUUAGUAUGAAAAGAAGUCGAAGUCGUUAAACAUCCAAGAAGAUCAACCCGAGACUUUAUUUUUUUAUCCAUUAAAGGAGCAUUCCUCCUAGAGUCUCCUGUUCAAGUUCUGCUUCUCAUCCAUCGACCACGAUAUGUUCGUCCGCUUACCGUUCACUUUGAUACUACCUUCGUCCAAAUUAUAGGUAAUUUUGACUUUUGUAAAUUCAUAGAUUUUGCUAUGCACAUGUAUCUAUAUUAUAUCUAGAUGCAUAGUGAAAGGUAUGUAUAUAGAAAAACUCAAAACGACCUAUAAUUUGGGACGGAUGGACGGAUGGAGUAUAUGCAAGCGUGUGUAAAUCAAGCUGUCAUCAGCUCUAACUAAUCAGGUAUGGAGGACAAUGAAUAUCUUACGUACCUACUGUGCAUUGAAGUUUGGGUUGGAAAGACUUGAGAAAAUUACACUCGAUCGGAGAUGUUUUUGGAAGUGAGACUUCUUUUGCAAAGAUCGGAGCUUUGGCUACAUGCGUUGCAGUCACUCUACUCCUGCGGAGGAGGCUCGCAUGCAUAUGUCGAGCUCAGAGAAGAUUGGGAGGUCGAAUUCGGCCUUUGGAAAGUAUUAUCCUACAAGUAUCUGUCCAACACCACCCAAGGAUUCAAGAACAAGAACAUGCUCGCCGCCGGCGGGUUCAGCAAGGUGUACAUAGAAGUCCUCCCAAAGACCAAGUCCGAGGUCGCGGUGAAGAGUGUCGUCGUAUAUGCAAGUGGUACCAAUUGCGUCAACCGUGGAGCAAGAUUGCCUCCAUCAUCUUUUUGCUACUUUGUAUCCGAUCACUUUUGUCAAAGAAAAAUCACUGUUUUAGGUGGGUUUUCCUUGUCCAUGGAUUCUAAUUUUUUUUUGUCCUUCCAGUCAGAUGCUUAACGAGUUAAAAACUGAGAUUGCAUUUUAACGGACUCUGAGCCUAGAUAACACGUUAGAAUAUUUUUUCUAAAAAACUAGAAUAUUUUAAGGAUCACCGGAGAAGGAAAAAAAAAGAAAAAAAUAAACGAAAAGCGAUACUCACCAUCCUAAUCUCAAUUGGACCGACACAGAAACGGCCGUUCAGUUAUAGUUUGGGCCAAACCCAAUUCGACGAUGCUCCAAAAGCCCAAUAAGGCCCGUCACGGGGGGCAAACCGGUGAAUCCCGCAAACUAAAACCCUACCCCAACCAGUAUAUAUAGCCUCCCAACCUCUUCGCUCUCCCACUCUUGUCAUCCCGGCGGCGGCGGCGCGGAAGCAGAAGGAGGAGGAGCAGCUGCAAGCGACGCCGAGGAGCGGCUACCCACCCCAAGCUCGCAACCAUGGUGAGCGCCGCCUUCCCCCCCGUGCCACUCCGCUGCCUUGCGCGCUCGCUCUCGCACAGAUCUGUGCCGGGGUCUCCUUUGUUUGGCCGCGCGUGGCGCCGCCGCUGUAGAUUCGUCCUGUUGCUUCGUUUCUUCUUGUCCGGGUAGGUUGUUUGUCCGCCGCGUGGUGGUGAUUCAUGGUUGGCUUGGUCGUAGAGGGUGUGCCUGGUUCCUGCGCUCUGGAACACGGGGGCCCGAUUCACAUGGCUUGUUAAAUGUGGUUUCCACUCGGUUUUACAGGGUUUGAUCGGUUGAUUGGGAAAAAUUGAAAUAUAGGGCUGUAUAUUGUAGAUCAGUUUCCACUUUCCAGUCUUCCUAGUGGGUUGCUCCAUGAUUUGACUGGUAAGGUGGAGUAAUAGUUUUCUGGUGGAAGUGUUUGAGAUAUGAGUUGUGCAACUUGAGUGCUGAGUCGAUGGUGCUAGGAAGUAGACGGUUUGGUUGAAGGGCCCUCGACCAUGCAUGUCUGGAGUUUUAAACAUAGUGUUUUCAUGACAUGGAUUGCUGAAUUAUAGAAUGGUACUUGGAAUUGCUUCUUUGAUUUAUUUGUAAUUGGGUUAGCCUGUAUUAUGUAAAUGCUUAGUUAUAUUGUAUUUUAUGUACUGCUAGUUAUCUUGCUGUUAUGUAAUAUGAAGAUGCAUGUCCAUUUUGUUUUAUCCACCGCUAAACUGGUUGUGCUGAUCUCUUAUCAUAUCUUAAUGGAGUCUCUUGUAAAGCUCUAGGCAGUUUUUUUUUGACCCAAAUCAUGAUUUAUUGAAUAUGGUAGUGUGUUGUCUACUGAUCAUUGUUUUUGUUUACCUAUAAUCCAGGCUAGGGGUCUGAAGAAGCAUCUCAAGAGGCUCAAUGCGCCGAAGCAUUGGAUGUUGGACAAACUUGGUGGAGCUUUUGUAAGUCCACAGCAGUUUCAGUUCUUUGUAUCUAUGAUAUUUAGUAUCUGUCCAGCAAUCUGAUAUGUCAACUUCGUCUUUUCUGUAGGCCCCCAAGCCAUCUUCUGGUCCUCACAAGUCCAGGGAGUGCCUUCCCCUGAUCCUCAUCAUCAGGAACAGGCUCAAGUAUGCUCUGAAUUACCGUGAGGUUAUUUCUAUCCUGAUGCAACGCCAUGUCUUGGUUGAUGGCAAGGUCAGGACUGACAAGACCUACCCUGCUGGGUUCAUGGGUAUGCUCUGAUCUUCCAACCUGCAGAAAGAUUCUUCCUACCUUUGCUAUGUAGUUACUGAUAUGUUGCAUUUGUUUUUUGGCAGAUGUCAUUUCCAUCCCCAAGACCAAUGAGAACUACAGGCUUCUGUAUGACACCAAGGGCCGCUUCCGUCUUCACCCCAUCAGGGAUGAGGAUGCCAAGGUUAGAGCAAUUCCCUUUUGUAAAUUUCUCAUUUUUCCUGUUGUGCAUGAUCUUUUUAGCGUAUAGGAUACUGUUUUCAGUUGAUAUACCUAAUAUGGUUGAUUAUUAUACUCUUAAUUACUUGAUGUUCUUUGCUAUCCGAUUCAAGUUUGCGUUGGUUUUUUGGUUCUUAGCAUAUACUUCCUGUAAUUUCAUCCUGAAUUCUCAAGUUCCUCGCGCCUUCCCAAUUUUCAAGUGAAUGCUGAUUGAUGUUUGAUUGUUCUGUGUACAGACCAAGCUCUGCAAGGUUAGGUCUGUUCAGUUUGGCCAGAAGGGCAUCCCAUACCUGAACACCUAUGAUGGGCGCACCAUCCGCUACCCUGACCCGCUCAUCAAGGCCAACGACACCAUCAAGAUCGACCUGGAGACCAAUAAGAUUGUUGACUUCAUCAAGUUUGAUGUUGGCAACGUUGUCAUGGUGACUGGUGGAAGAAACACUGGUCGUGUUGGUGUGAUCAAGAACAGGGAGAAGCAUAAGGGCAGCUUUGAGACCAUCCACGUUGAGGAUGCCCUGGGCCACCAGUUCGCCACCCGUCUUGGCAAUGUGUUCACCAUCGGCAAGGGCAACAAGCCGUGGGUGAGCCUGCCCAAGGGCAAGGGUAUCAAGCUCAGCAUUAUUGAGGAGCAGAGGAAGCGGGAUGCUGCUGCCCAGGCUGCUGCCAACGCAUAAAUUCCUCAGAAUGUGCCUUGAGUUUUGCUAUAGCGAGUUUAUCUGCAAGGAUAUAGAACUAUCUUCCCAGACUAUCCUGUUUUAAGUUUUGCCUGAUGGUUGUUGAUUCGCGAACAUGUGUUUGCAGCUAGCUGUAAUGCGACUAUUUAUCUUAUCAAGUGCGUUUUCGAGAACAUGUCUCUUGUUGUGUUUGCCCUGGUUGCUCUGAAAUGCUUCUGUGAAUUAUGAGUAUCAUUGUCAUUGUUGCUGUGGUUGUUCGUACUCGGUUAUGUUAAUGUUAAUUUCCUGGGAUGAUAUGAAUUCUGUUGGUUUAGAUUCUUAUGGAAUCUGUUGUGCCUAAGCAUGUGGCGUUCAUGUUUGUGCCCUGCUGUUCUGAAUUCUGUCGGUUUAGUUUUUUAAUGUCAUGUAGAACCGGCCGUGCCUAAGCAUGCUGUGUUCAUGUUUGUGCCCUCUGAUGUUCUGAACUCUUCCCGUUCCUGUAGAUACUUGAUAUCAUAUCGGAACAGCCGUAACCAGGCAUGAAUGAUCCCUUGAAAUUUUUGUGUUUUAUCCAUAUAAAAUAAUACGUUCACAUUUCUUGUUUGGAGGAUCAGUUGUAUCUGAACUCAAGACGUGAUACUGUGCUGAAUUGAAUCUACGCGAGCUGGAAGAAUCCCCUAGCGAUGGUGCCGUUGGCUCCCCUGGGUAGGAACCCGCCGGGGAUCUGCUCGUUGCGCGAGCCGUAGAGGAUGCGUAGGACCUCCGCCGGCGUGCGCUGGAACCCGAGCGAGUCGUCGCCGGCGCCGAGGAUGUUGCUGAUGGUGCGCCGCUCUGCUCCCUGCUGCCGGUCAAGCACCUUGACCCCCUCGUCCUUGGCGCCGCACCCGGACAUCCGGUUGCGCCACUCAGAGAUCCGGCGGGUGAAGUCCGCCACCGUGUGGCCCUGGUACGGCGGCACGGCCUCGUCGGCGCGCUGGUACAGCAGCAGGCGGAUGACCGCGUCCUGCCCGGCCUCCACCGCCAGGAUGCUCGCCUGGAGCUGCACGCCACCAACAAUCCCCGGCCAAGGGUUGGUUAAUCCAGCCACAAUAUUCAGCAGGCUCGUUUCAUUCAGCCAUUGCGACUGAGGGAAGGUUUACCCGUUUGGAGAGGAAGCCCAUGAGGCUGGAGCUGAUGCCCAUGGUGGCCGCGGCCGUGAUGUGCGGAAAGACGUAGGAUGCGAGGAGGAAGUUGACGGAGCUGGCGUAGGGGUCGAAGGGCGGGUCGAGGCGAACGCCCAUGGCGUCGUCCAUGACCAUGGCGAAGCGGUCGGCGCCGAGGUCGAUGGCCGGGCGCGGGAACCCGCCCACGGCCUGCCUGAUCGCCCUGCAAGACCACGCCAUUGCCAAUGUCACUCGUGCUGGAUUUUGCCGUUCUUGCCUGGGGGGAUGGACGAUCGUCUGGUACCUGAUGUGGCCGACCUCCUGGUACCCGAGCUCGGCGGCGACCUCGGUGGUGCGGAAGUCGAGCGCCGCCUUCCGCGCCCCGGACGGCCGGGGACCGCCGGCGGAGAGGUUGCGGUCCAGGAAGUCGACGCCGCGGCCCAGCGCGGCGUGCAGGAACCACUCCGCCUCCACGAACUUGGCGUUGAGCAGGAACUGCAGCUGCUCCAUGUCGCUCGGGUACACCGCCAGCGCGCCGCGCCGCGGCGCCGUCGCCCGGCACCGCGGGUCCUCGGGAGCGGCGGCCGGGGCGCUCGGCACGAUGGUGGCCGCGGCGAGCGGCAGGAGGACGGACGCCAGGAGGAGGAGGGCGGCGUCGCGCGCGCGUGCCAUGGCUGGCUUGGUUUGGUUUGGUUGGGAGCGGGAUGGUCUGCUCGGCGCGUGGAUUUGUAGGGGUUAGUUUUAGUUAGUGUGGGUUUAGGAGGGAGUGAGGGGGUAGCAUGCGUUUUGGCAAGCCACGGGAUGCUUGCGUGGAGAUGGAGAACUGCAGAUUGGUAGAUGGAAGUAGGAAGAUGAUUCGAAAUUUUUUCGUCAAAUCUAAUGGUAUUUUCUUCACAAUUUUACCAUUCUCGUUUAUUGCAAUCCUGCUCACAAAUGAAUUAACUACGAAUAUUUCUCGCCGACAGUUAUUUUUUGUUUUAUUUUUCCCAUAUGAUUGAAAGUGCCGUGUCAAUCAGAUUGGGAGAAUCUUCAGCAUGGCACAAUAUGGAGAUCAAAUAAGUCUAGUUGAGUUUUUUCCCCAGAACACGCCUGCGCAUCAUUAAAGGAAAGCGAGUUACAGUGACUAGCUCAGGUAGAGAUUUUACAACGAAAAUUAUGCCCCGUAGAUAUUCCAAACUGAAAUUACUAAAAAACAAAAAGGAGAGCUGACUACCUUUGAACAAAAAUGAAUAAGGGACGAUUUGUCAAAUUGAAUCCAACAUCGUUCACCUCCAAGAUCCUUCCCACUGGACCGAAAGUGUUCAACGAUCAACAACAACGACAAUAUAGUCUUUCGGUCACAAACAAGUUAGGAUGGAUUAGAGUUAAAACCCAACAAUAACCACAAAUCAGGGUUCGAUACAUGAAUAGCUGUUUUCCAAGCACCCAUAUCCAAGACUAAAUUUUUGGGUAUAUUCCGUCCCUUAAAUCUCUUUUUUAUUGUCUCUUCCCAUGUCAAUUUUGGUUUUCCUCUACCUCUCUUCACAUUAUUGUCACGCCUUAGGGUUCCACUACAUAUUGGUGCCUCCGGAGAUCUUCGUUGGACAUGUUCAAACUAUCUCAGCCGGUGUUGGAUAAACUUUUCUUCAAUUGGUGCUACCCCUAACCUAUCACGUAUAUUCUCAUUCCAGACUCGAUCCCUUCUCGUCUGAGCACAAAUCCAACGCAACAUAUUUCCGCAACACUUAACUGUUGGACAUGUCGUCUUUCUGUAGGUCAACAUUCUGCACCAUACAACAUUGCAUGUCUAAUCGUUCUCCUAUAAAACGUGCCUUUUAGCUUCAAUGGUACCCUCUUGUCAUAUAAAAUUCCUGAUGCUUGGCGCCACUUCAUCCAUCCCCACUUUGAUUCUAUGACUAACAUCCUCAUCAAUAUCCCCAUCUCGUUGUAGCAUUGAUCCCAAAUAUCGAAAUGUAUCCUUCUUGGGCACUACUUGGCCUUCCGAACUGACAUCUCCCUCCUCAUGUGUAGUAGUGCUAAAGUCACAACUCAUAUAUUCAGUUUUAGUUCUGCUGAGUCUGAAACUUUCUGACUCUAGGGUCUCCCGCCACAACUCCAGUUUCCUAUUUACUCCUGCUCGACUUUCAUCAACUAGCACUAAAUCAUCCGCGAAGAGCAUACACCAAGGGAUAUCCCUUUGAAUGUCCCUUAUUACCUCAUCCAUCACCAAGGCAAAUAGAUAAGGGCUCAAAGCAGACCCUUGAUGCAAUUCUAUUCUAAUCGGAAAGUCAUCUGUGUCGCCAUCACUUGUUCGAACUCUAGUUACAACAUUGUUGUACAUGUCAUUAAUAAGUCCAAUGUACUUCGUUGGGACUUUAAGUUUGUCCAAAGCCCACCACAUAACAUUUAUGGGUAUUUUGUCAUACGCUUUCUCCAAGACAAUGAAAACUAUGUGUAGGUCCUUCUUCUUCUCCUUAUAUAGCUCCAUAACUUAUUUUAUUAAGGAAAUAGCUUCCAUGGUUGGAUUUUCAGGCAUGAAACCAAAUUGGUUCAUAGAGACCCAUGUUAUCCUUCUCAAAUGAUGCUUGAUAACUCUCUCCCAUAGCUGGCUCAUCAACUUAAUUCCUCGGUAAUUAGUACAACUUUGAAUAUCUCCCUUAUUCUUGUAUAUUGGUACCAAUACUUAUCCUCCACUCUUCCGGCAUCUUGUUUGACCGAAAAAUAUGGUUGAACAACUUGUUUAGCUAUACUAUGGUUAUAUCCCCGAGGCAUCUCCACUUGGAAUACCAUUCGUGCCCAUCACCUUACUACUUUUCAUCAUUUUCAACGCCUCUCUGACCUCAGUUUUUUUUAUCUUCUGCACAAAGUGCCUGUUGGUGUCAUCAAAAGAGUCAUCCAACUAAAAAGUUGUGUUCUUAUUCUCACUGUUGUGCAAAUUAUCAAAAUACUCUUGCCAUCUAUGUUUGAUCUCAUCCUCCCUUACCAAGAUGUUCUCCAUUUCAUCCUGAAAAUGCAUGCUGUUCUGUUGCUUCCAGACGAGCAAGACACCAAUACAACCAAUGAGUCGAAAUACUUAUGGUGAAUUAUAUUGAGACUCUUUGGAGUUGGCAGCCAGCAAUGCACCAGCGAAAUGUCUUGCGUUGAUGCGGUCACCAGAAAACCUGACGAUGAGAGAACUCUGACCCACUAGCAAGCGCUUAAGCGUCUCCACCUUAUUCGAACUGAGAGCAGACGGCCCAUCGUUCUGUAGGUCAUGUGAUCAUGUCUUUGUAACCAGUCCGAUGUUCAGCUACAUCUUUUAUGUAGAGUAAGCCAAACAGAAAAAAAAUGAUGCUAACGGAAUUGAGUUUAUGUUAACACGGCCGAAAGAUGUGUCAUUACGUCAUCAGUAAGGUACAAUCACUCUCGCCUUGUACCCUUUUUUUUUUUACAAACCAUUCACGAUUCUAAGCCUUAGUAACUCAUCUUUAAAGCUCUAUAUAGGCUAUCUCGGCUAUUCUAAGAUAUGAAAAUGGCUGAAGUCAGAAUAUUUUUGUCCUUGCCUAAGCAAUUAUGGUAAUUUCCUUAGAAUUUAAAUCUCUAACCUAACGUUGUCGAAUUUCAUAGAAUGAAAAACGUAGUCACAUGUUGCGUAGGAGUGUGAUUAGUUUAUUGUUUUUAGUUGCUUGUAGUCUAUAAGUGUACAAACAUACUCAAACCUCCUAAAGCAUAUACUCACCUCUAUAAAUGCAUACACGCAAACUGUACCUCUAUAGCAUCGGUGAGAGACUACGAUAUAUCUUACAAUUUACAAAUCUAUCAUAGGCGUAUUAUUCUUGACAAGCACGUUGCUUUUGCCCAUUCUGAAAAUUAUUAUUCCUUAAAAUAAAAAACAUUACUCGCUUUACCACUGUACCAGUCAUGCUGGAGACAUACUCAAAGCCAUUUCAAUUAGAACACUUUAUUUCUUUGUCAAAGUUUCAACUUCAGUUGUGUGAAUUUUGGUCGGCUUCUUAAUUCUUGACAGUUGCAGAAACAGUGGCUUGAGCAUGACGUUUCCUGCAACAGUUUCUUCUUCAGAAAAAAGUUUUGACAAUGGCGUAACCGGUGGCUUGGACACAACGUUUGCUGCGAUAGUUAAGACAGCGCAUCCUCGCCGUCCAUCAUCACUCAUCAGAUCAGAUCCUGUUCCUCCUCCCGCUCUAGGGUUUUGCAUCGGUCUCAAUGGCGUCCUCCGCCGCCGCCACCGUCACGCUCGGCGGCAAGGGCGCCGCCUUGUCGCCGGCCGCCGUCUACGCGCUCUCCCUCGGCCUCGCCUCCCCCGCCAUCGACGCCUCCGCCCUGAAGCCGCUCUCCACCCGCGCCCCCUCGCCGCAGGAGACCCCCGCCUCCCUCGGCGCCGCCCUGGCGGCGCUGGCGCCGGCCGAGUCGCGCGUCGCGGCGGCGGUGCUCCUGAACAAGCUCCUCCUCACCGCAUCCGACUCCUCCUCCGCGCUGGUCACUGCCGCCACCGCCACCCGCCUCGCGGAGUCGCUCGACGUCGCCGCGGCGCUGCCGCUGGGGUCCCGCGACGAGGCCGCCGUGGCGGCGGCCUCCGCGCCCGUUGCCGUCGCGCUCGCGGCCCUGAUCGACUGCUGCGCCACGCCGCUGGCCCGCGUCGCCGACGCCGUCGCCGCGCUGUCCUGCGAGGCCGCGCGCGGGGACGCCGCGUCAUUCGACGUGCCGGCGUCCGGUGACGGGCUCUCCGCCAAGGACGAGGCGGACGUCGCCGCCGACAUCAAGAUGCUCGUCUUCGGCUCCAAGCUCGUCGGCAGCGCCGGAGGUGCCCCCGCCCCCGCCGCCGCCACGUUCGCCAAGGUGCCCACCGUGAACGGGAUCUUCCGCGAGGCGGUGCGCGCGCUGCACGCGAGGGUGCGGAUCGAGCUCAACGCCCCGGUGAAGUUGGGGAAGAGGGAUGCGGGCGAAACUGGUGCAGGAAAGGAGGAGGCGUUGGUUGUGCUGGCCACGCAGCUCGCGAGAGCAGUGCAGGCAUUGUGCAAGAUGAGCGUUGCUCGGGCAAGACUCUGCGCAGAGAGCAUUGCUGAUGCUGAGCUUCGGGAGAAACUUACUGGUGGCGUCAGCAUUGAUGAUUUGAAGGGGAUGCUUGACAGGGUUUUGAUUGAUUCAGAUGCAGUGUCGGUCCUGAAGGGGGUGUACAACCACUUGCUUAAGUUCAGGGACUUCCUUGCUUGGGAGGCAGCUGUGGCAAUGGCGGUGAUCGAAGGGGACAGUUCAAUUGAGAAGCCCCAAGCUGCUGUUGAGAACGAAGUGGGCAGUUCAGCUGAGAAGCCACAGGCUGGUGGUGAGAAAGCGAAGGGUGACAAGAAGAGCAAGAAGAAGAAAACUCUGGGGAAGGGCACUUCUGCUGUGCUGAUGCUGCUUAAGGACCAUCUAAACAAUGGAGGUGCUAUUGCUUCCGUGAAUUCUGCAUUGGUUGCAGAGUGGGGGACCUCUCUCUCAUUGUUGUUUGACCCCAAGUGUCCCGGAUUGGAGUGCCUUGUGGAGAAGGUGAAGGAGAUUGUUGAGAGCAAUGAAGUAAGGAGGUUGCCUAAAAUUCCUAAGGUGAGAAUCAUAUUGUUUGCAGAAGGUCUGCUUUAGUUAUAUGGUUGAAUUAUUGGUGCUUAGAUUGUAUUGAUGUUCCGUUCUCUCUCCUCUGAAUGUUUAUGCUGACUCCUGUUAGGGUACACGCGACUUUGGGAAAGAGCAAAUGGCGAUAAGGGAGCGUGCAUUUUCAAUUAUAACAGGUGUAUUCAAGAUGCACGGUGCUACUGCUCUUGAUACACCUGUAUUUGAGCUGAGAGAAACCCUUAUGGGCAAAUAUGGUGAAGAUUCGAAGUUGAUAUAUGACCUCGCUGAUCAGGUAUGGUUUCAGUGUCCUCUUACUAUUUAGCUUGGUCUCAUGUCUUACUUGGCAAAAGAAAUUUGUUCAUAUUUUGAUUGUCAUGCAAUGGCUCUUACUAUAACUCACCCAUGUGAGGUUAAGAAUUGCAUUGCCAAUAUUGGGACACUCAAACCAUACUUUGUUGCAGUAUUUUCCCUGUAUUAUCCUUGUAGUGAUGGUUUGAUGUCUUACCAUCAAAUAACCUGCAGGGUGGUGAGCUUUGCUCUUUGCGUUAUGAUCUGACUGUUCCGUUUGCCCGAUAUGUUGCGAUGAAUAACAUAAGCGCACUGAAGAGAUACCAAAUAGCAAAAGUAUAUAGGAGAGAUAAUCCAUCUAAGGGAAGGUAUCGGGAAUUCUAUCAAUGUGACUUUGACAUUGCUGGUGUAUAUGAACCUAUGGAACCGGAUUUUGAGGUCAUCAAAGUUUUGACUGAAUUGCUGAAUCAGCUGGAUAUUGGAACAUACGAGAUAAAAUUAAAUCACAGAAAGUUGCUUGAUGGAAUGUUAGAAAUUUGUGGUGUGCCUGCUCAAAAGUUCAGAACAGUUUGCUCGAGCAUUGACAAGCUGGACAAGCAAACAUUUGAACAAGUGAAAAAGGAGCUGGUAAGCAUCUGAACUACUUAUUGGUUUAAGCUAAGGUCUCAUUAUUUUUUAUUUAUUGUGCUGCCUUGAUGUGUAUACGUGGAUCAUAGUCGUAACUGUUUGUUAUGUUGAAUCAGGUGGAUGAGAAAGGUAUAUCAAAUGAAACUGCAGAUGAAAUUGGCAAUUUAGUGAAGACUAGAGGACACCCAUUGGAAGUUUUGCUGGAGCUGAGGAAGGAGGGUAGCAAGUUCAUGCAGAACGAAGGGUCUGUUGUUGCACUGAAUGAACUUGAGAUAUUAUUCAAAGCUCUGGAGAAAGCAAAUGCGUUAGACAGGAUUGUUUUUGACUUAAGUCUGGCUAGGGGCCUUGAUUACUAUACCGGUGUUAUAUACGAAGCUGUGUUCAAGGGUGCCACACAGGUUAGACCCACACUUAUCACUGCAUGUUGAUGUUGCCAGUUAAUAUUACGAGUGGCCGUAAAGCAUAUUGUUCUUGUUCAUUCACUUAAUAUGUUGGUGAUCAAUGUAUUCAAAACUGAUUUAUAUCUCAAAUUUUAUUUUACUCUCUAUUAUCUGGAACAUUGGAAGUACAUAUGCCUUUUUCUGACUAAAGAGCUGAAGACCAUUUUAGUUGAUCCCUGUACUGACUGUAUUUGGCAAUAGGUUGGCUCCAUUGCAGCUGGUGGUCGGUAUGACAACCUUGUGGGUAUGUUUAGCGGUAAGCAGAUCCCUGCUGUUGGUGUCAGCCUAGGAAUAGAGAGGGUCUUUGCAAUCAUGGAGCAACAGGAGAAAGAAAGAAAUGAGGUAUAGCUAUGUCUCAAUCACCAUUUUACCCUUCCUGUUUCAAAGGGACUUGCAGUAACUGUGCGAUCUUGAAUUGCAGACGAUCCGUGCUACAGAGACAGAGGUGCUGGUGUCAAUCCUUGGAAAGGACCUUACACUGGCUGCUGAGCUGGUGAGCGAGCUGUGGAGUGCUGGAAUAAAGGCAGAGUUCAAGCUCACUACCAGGGUGACGAACCACAUCAAGUAUGCCUUGCAAUCAGGCAUUCCUUGGAUGGUGCUGGUUGGUGAGUCUGAGAUGCAGAAAGGAAGUGUGAAGUUGAAGGAUGUUAAAGCCAACCAGGAAGAAGAGGUUGACAGGAAGGAUUUUGUUCAAGAGCUGAAGAAGAGAUUGAGUAAACCCUAAAAGGGAAGUUUUAGGCGUUGAUCUCAUAUCUUUUUUGGCACCCAUUUUAGGCGAGUGAGUCCAAAAGUUGGGGAAAUGACAUUCCAACAUUUGGAUUUAAACUGAUGGGAGUGUUUUAGUCAGGUUGGCUUCACUUGUGGUGGUGAUUCGAAUCCCUGAAUUCCAAUGCAUUGUACUGAAUCAGGCUGCGCCAUUUUGUGAAUUAUACAAGCAUGACAAAGCUUUCCCUUUUGAUGUAGGAAAAAUGUACCUUUUGUACUUCAAAUAGCAAGUUUUUGGGUAGUUAAAUAACAGAAGCAAAGCCAGUAAUCAUUUUAUUGCAUUUAUUAAACGGGAUAACAAAACCUUUUUAAGUUCCCAUCCUUGCAUUACAGAUCGUACAGAAUAUGAGAGCGAGAUGAAAUGCCUCCUACUCGACUAUUCCCCGCUUUGCGCCGUCCACCGUGUUCUUCAGCAGCAUCGCCACCGUCAUUGGGCCGACGCCUCCUGGGACUGGCGUCAGGUAACCGGCGACCUUGCUCACCUCUGCGAAAUCCACAUCACCGACGAGCCGGUACCCAGACUUCCUGGUAGGGUCGUCGACUGAGUUCGUCCCAACAUCUAUAACGGCAGCGCCUGGCUUGAUCCAGUCCCCUUUGAUCUGACAACCAAGAAAGGAACAUUGACUCAGUGAGCAAUGGGCGAUGAAUUGCAGGAACUGCAUCAUGCUGCAAAAACUGAUAAUUUGCUGUUGUGAAGCUACGCACCAUCAUAGCCUGCCCAGCUGCUGCAAUGACUAUGUCAGCUUCGCGGACAAUGCUUUCCGGAUUCGAGGUCCGUGAGUGCACAAUUGAUACUGUUGCAUCUGCCUUCAGAAGGAGAAGGGAUACAGGUAGCCCGACUAUAUUGCUGCGGCCAACCACAACUGCUCGUUUCCCUUUAACGGUAACUCCACUCCGUGACAAGAGCUCCAUGCAUCCCUUCAAAGAAAAACCGACACCAUGGGUAGGAAUUGCACGUGAAAACAACAUAAAAAUUAUCAUGUGUUCUGUUGUAUUGAUGUAAAAUGCUCUGCAAAUUGUUUCAAUACCUUUGGUGUACAUGGUACAAAAAGUGGUUCCCUGCCUUUCAUUGCAAGUUUGCCAAUAUUGAGAGGAUGGAAACCAUCGACAUCUUUCUCAAUGCUGAUCUCACUCAAUAUCUUCUCUUCAUUGAUGUGCUUAGGCAAUGGAAGCUGCACAAGGAUGCCUGGAAUCAAAGCACAUAGUCAUAAAGUUAAUAGCUGCCCUUCAUAAUUGAAACAAGGAUUUGAUUCUAUGAGACCGAAGUAGUCAUAGUCAGAAUUUUGAUACAGGUAGUAGAACAAGACAUGAAUCAACAUGACAUGGACCUGUCUUGUACUAGCAGUAGCCAACUAAAACUUGUUGGCUUUCUAUGAACCCAAAGGAAGCUAGAGACAUUCUUUUUAAAACCCCUAGUCCCCUACCCGACUACUCCCAUAUUGGAACAUUCAUCUCUGUAGUUAUGAAGUGACAAGUUGAUUGACCAAGUGCAGAACUCCAAAAUUCAGAUUUCUGGGAAGAUAUCAAGAUAUUCAACUUAGAUCGAUCAUGCCAUUUUUUUAGCUAUAACUUCUCACUUACAACUGAAUCAAAGCAAUGCUUCAUCUCUCUAUGGCCUUGCUAGUUUGAUACUUGAACUUGGCCAAACAAAACCUGCUAUGUUCUAACAGAAUGACAAAACAACUUUUGGUUUUUCAAAAAAAAAACAACUUACAAACUCAGAAACUCCCUUAAGUAUCUGUGCAACUUUGCAACUUGAAAUACCUAAAUUCUGAGGCCUAAUCUAGUGAUUGACUACUCCAAACAAGGAGUGAAUUGGGAUCUGCAUACCCUUGGUUAAGAGACAGCCCACAUUGUAGAGAGCAGAAAACAGUAUUAUUGAUGACUUUUCAAAUCUAGCUGCAUGCCAUAGCACGCUCAAGGAUUCCAAUUCCAAGUAUGGAACCAGAGAUGAAUAGACUCGAUAGAGACAGGAUCAGACCAAAUCCACUGAACUGCAAACCUGCAGGCCUGCGGAUGUAUCACCAUAGGCACUGCAUCAUCAGAUAGCACAAGUGAGCAUCUAAGCAUCUAAUUCUGAUGAAUCGUAGGCAAAGCAACAAUGGCUACGUUCGCAGCAUGCUCAAGCAUAAGAACCAGAAAACACAAGCAUAUGUAUUCUUCUGCGGCCCCAGAUAGGGUACCGAAAGAGGAGAAGUAAAGCAAGGGAUGCGGUACCGUGCACGGCGGGGUCGGCGUUGAGGCGGUGGACCUCGGCGACGAGCGCGAGCUCGGAGAUGUCCUCGGGGAGGUCGACGUCGACGGAGCGGAUGCCGACCUCGGCGCAGGCCUUGCGCUUCAUGUUCACGUACGUCUGCGAGUCCUUCCUGCUCCCCACGAUCACCACCGCUAGCCCGGGCACCUGCGCGCGGGAGUCAUCACAGCGCCAUUAGCUAUUCAGUCCCGACCCGUUUCCCGAUCCAAGAAAGAACGCACCCGCGGCGGGAGAGGGAAGGGGAGAGGAGGAGUGGGGAGGCUUACGACGUUGUGGGCAGAUGAGAGCGUGGCGACCUCGGCCGCGACCUCGCGGCGGAUGUCGGCGGCGAUGGCCUUGCCGUCGAUGAUCUGCGCCAUCGCGGUGGUGGCUGUCGUCUGGGCGAGUGAGUGGCGACGACGACUCGGGGAUUAGAGACCUGCGAGAAGAAAUCUUUGGCUGAGUGGGUAGGUGAGCCUGGCCCAUUGGGCCAAAUACUUACAUAGGCCCUCUUUAUUGGGCCUGGAUAGUCAAACGUGAUCAUAUUUCGGGCCAGUUUGGUCGGGCUCCAAACGGCUCCAACUUCACCUGCCACCUAAUGCGCAUGUACUAUUUACCGAAGAUUUUUCUCUCUCUCCUCUUAUGUUUUAAAAAAACAUAAGGAGCCAGUGGAGCCGUAAAUUAUGGCUCCACCAGCUCCGGCUCCGGCUCCAGCUCCUCAACACCCUGCCACCUACAGUAGCCGGAGCUGAAGUUGGCGAGAGCUCGACCGAACUGGCCCUUCAUAUGGAUGCAAAGAUUGGGCUAGCAUGGGAUCUAAACCUGCAUACAACUAGCCCAAGCAACCAAACAUGCUCUAUACUAGAAUCUUGAUAACCAAAUAGUCCUCAACGAGAAUAUGGAAAUGUUGUUGCUGAGAUGCAGUUUAUAACUUCGAGAGUUUCUGCGAUUCCAAAGGUGCCUAAGUCAUGCUGUCGCAACAGAGCCUCCUGGUGCCUGUUCAUGGAAUAUCAGUCUGGUCCAUGGAUAGAUGAAGAGCCAAUGAUGCGUGGAUAUUUGGUAUGUACCAAUCCAAUUGCUCAUGGUAGAGACUGUAGAUAGAGUUUGGAUUGCUUUCUGAUUCUUUUGAUGUUGUCGACGGGCAGGGGAGAGAAAGAGGGGAAGAUGCUACCAAAAAAAUACCCCCAGUGAGGUUAGAGAGGAUGAAGCAUAUGCAGCACCAGCCACACUACCAGGGAUCUAUAGAUGAUGGGAAUAUAGUAUGGAGACUGAUGCACCAAUCUUCUCCAGAUUCCCUUCUCCACUUUCUGGAUAGUGCUAGAGGGAUCACAUGAAGAUCUAGGGGCAAGAUUUGGACCUGCAUAAACAUCAAUUUAGCCAGUACUGACGAUUCAUAUCUUUUGCAUUUUGAGAAACAAUUCCGUACCUCAUCAACAUCAGGGAGGGUCCAGCAAUGAUUAUCAUGUAAGGGGUCCAACUCAAAAUAAAGUGCUGCAAGAUCUUACACAUAUUUUUCUUGUUCAUAAUCACAAGCUAGGUAAACUUAUGCAGGGUAGUAGUUUCAUUCUCCGCGCCCGCGCACACACACGGACACACAGAGAAAGUAAUAGUUUCAUAUUUAGUCCUGACUCUUGAGCCUAACAAUCGAUUCUCCUCCAUUUUUAGUCUCCAAUUCCUAUGCUCCGGGCUUAGACCUUCAAUAUGUAAAAUCUCUCGAAAAUACUGCACAUGAGGUGUAUUUUUCAGAUGUGCGAAAACGACUCAUUUACGGAGUAAUAUGUGCAUUUUCACACUUACUGUAACAUUUUUUUUA
rnacentral:lncRNA from 1 species